rnacentral:lncRNA from 1 species
UUUUAGUCGUCUGCAACAUAUUUAAGCCCUUGGUGAGUUUUUGCUUAAUUCUCGUUGGGUUUGGUACACCCAAAUAAUUAUUGUUUUGGGUCUAAAAUGAGUUAGCACUGGAAUGAGUUGAAUUAUGUUGUUUGAGAUGGUCGUAUAAAUAGUUACUUUGAAAACCAUAUUAUGAUUUAGAUAUAGUAUUAUUUGUUGAGGCAUGCUAUAAUCAAAUAUGUUACUUUUGAGUUAUGUGUAAUUGAGCUAAGAUGUUGAUCUUAUGAUAAACAUGUAUAGGCUAUAGUGUUCUGUUAGUUUUGCCUAUUAGAGUUGUACCGUAUGGGGGUCCAUCAGGGUCACCACCUAUGUAUGCAUGUGUGACUUGUUUGAGAUGUGAUUCGACGAGAUCACUUACAGUCUGACUCUCCUAUAGGAUGAUUCCUUCGGGUUCACCGAGAGCCUAGAUGUGUCCCUACGGAACCACUUGAUAGUAUGCGUUCGGGAGCGUAAUAGUAUGCGGUACCAUGUUACAGGACUCUAACGAAAGGUUAACAGACACAUAGUGAGACCACUAUGGGUCUCUUACUAAGUAUAAAUUUAUACUCACUCUUUUAAAUGUUUAAUUUCAGGUAAGGGUAGAGGCAAAGGCAUAAUAGCGAAUGAUAAGAAGUGAUCAUAGAUCGCCAUAGGGAUCAAUUCAGUUUUCUUCCGCAUUUAUAUUUCAAUAGUUAUAUUUUCAUAGGUUUAUUUCAGAACUCUGGUUCAAUUACUUUAUGUAUUUCUUCUAUUUUUGGGCCCAAACUGGUAUUUUGAUCAGUUAUUUUAACUACUUAUUAUUUAAAGUUUUUCCUCAAAUUUUAAUUUAUUUUCUUGUAUAUUAAAAAAAAUCUAUAUUUACUUAAAUAGUAAUGACCUCAACCUUCUAGAAAAGUUGGGGCGUUACAAUUAAAACUAAGUUACCUAGGUCAUCCUAAUGAAUAAAAACCUGACUAGUAAACAGAGUUUCAUCUAGUAGUUAUUAUUUUGCCGUCUGAUCUUAUGUAAACUUAUUGCAUAAGAUACCGUCACUCGUAUGUCAACUACACAAACGCGUUGAAUCAUUGUGUUUGUAUCAAAUACAAAGUGAGCCAUAUUCAUAGUGUUACCAGGAUUAGGUAUUCAGCCUUAUCCUUGUACUAUAGAACCUUUAAGUUGAUCUUGAACCUUUAUCCCUAUAUGUCUCUACAUACUGUUUAAGAUUCAUUAAACAACUUAGGAUGUUAGUUUGUUUGAUUUGAGUUAUUAAGACAACUAAUAUUAUAACCAAUAACAAUUAUUACAAUAAUAACAUGUUAUUAACAACGAUUAAUGGAUUAUAUUUACAAUCUACGAGUUUUAGGACAUAAAUCCCAACAUAAACGAUCUUUUAUUUAGUCUAAACAAUAUUGUACCAAAUCUAAACGAUCCAUUAGUAACAGUGGUCUAUGUCUGUUUAUGGUCUAUGAACCCCUCAGGCUGAGACAUAAAGAUACUCUCUUCAAGAUUUCCACUUAGAAAAACAGUAUUAACAUCCAUUUGUCAUAUUUCAUAAUCAUAAAAAGUGACUAUGGACAAGAGAAUCCUGAUAGACUUUAACAUAGCAACAGAGAAAAAGUUUCCUCGUAGUCAAUCCCUUCCCUUUGGGUAUACCCAUUUGCUAAAAGUCUAGCUUUGAAGGUUUGUACCUUCCCAGCUGAAUCUCUCUUUCUCUUAUAGAUCCAUUUGCACCCUAUGGGUUUCACCCCUUCAGGUAGAUCUACAAGCUCUCAUACUGAAUUGAAGUACAUAGAUUCCAUGGUUUUAACCUAUUAGUCCUUGUCUACAUCAGUAUGAGAAGGAUGAGACUAAUCGGAUGUGUUGGUUUCCUCAACUCUUGAUGAGGGACCAACUUCAUCAACAACCCUUGUUGAUUCAUUAGUAGCUUCACUUAAUUUUGAUUUGCUUCAUGGUUUAUGAUCGAUCAUGUUGUUUUCUUCCAAGAAAGUAGCCUUUGUCAAUAUAAACACUUUGUUUUCUUGUGGAUCGAAGAAUAGACCACCUCUCGUUUCUUUAGGAUAACCAAAAAAUUGACAUAACCUUGAACGAGAGUCCAACUUCUUAGAAUUUGACACUAAAACGUGUGCUGGACAACCCCAAAUUAUGGAGUGACUUAACUAGGUUUACAUCCUCUACAUAACUCGAAAGUGUAACGACCCAACUCUUUAUACUAAGUUGAGGUCAUUACUACUAAAACAAAUAAAGACUUUUUAUUUAAAUCAAAGAAAAUACUAAGUUUUAAAACAAACACUUCAAAUAUUUAUUCAUAAAAUAUAAGUAAAGUAUGUAAAGAAAACAAUAAAUAAAAUAUUAGUUUGGGCCCUAUUUAAAAUAAAAAUAUAUAUCUAAAAGUAAAUAUGGGUUCUGAAAUAAGUUUAUGAAAAUUUAAUAUUGAAAAUAUAAAUGCUAAAUAAAACAUAAAUUGUCCCCUAUGGAGAACCAUGGUCACUUCUUGUCAUUCGCUAACUUGCCUUUACCUCUAUCUUUGCCUGAAAAAUUAAAUCUAGAAAUGAGUUAGUCUAAAUUUAUACUUAGUAAGGGAUCCACUAUUAGUCCCACUACGUGUUUGUUAAUUUUACGUUAAAGUCCUCCUAUAAGAAAGUACCACAUAUAUAUUAUUCUACUGAAAUCACCCUAUCUAGUGAUCUCGUAGGGACAUAUAUGGGCUCUUGGUGAAGCAGAAGGAAUCACCCUAAAGAAGAGUCAAGUUGUAAGUGAUCUUGUCGAAUCACACAUCAAACCUAACCACAAAUACAUAAAUAGGUGGUGAUCCCGAGGGACACCUACAUGGUACGACUCUAACAAGUAAAGCUAACAGAACAUCAUAGCAUAUACAUAUAGCAUAACAUAAAUAUCAUAUCUUAAUCGUAAUAUAUCUCAACCAUAGUAUAUCUCAUUCAUAACAUAUCAUGGUCAUCACAUAUCUCAGUCAUACAUAACGAUUUUCUAUGUUGCUAUCAUUAUCUAACAUCCUUAACAGUCACAUCACAUGCAUCAUAACUAUGUUAAUGCAUACUAAGGUAAAACAUAAUGUAAGAGGCUAGUAGUAGAAUCUUUUACCUGGAGAUUAAUUAGUUGAAAAUAUAGUGAAAAUAUAGUCCCUUCCUGACAGUCAAUUCUCAAUUAAGUCAGGCCUAAACAUAAACAAAAUUAAAAUUGUUAAUUUUGUCAACCAUCAUGCAACUAUUUAAUUAAGCAUCCAAACUUACCCCAAGACGAAGGUUGAAUCCAACACAACCUUGAAUGAAAAAAUUUGCAGUUUCAAAUCCUCAAAUUAACACUUGAACCUUCGAGCAAAAGUAAUUCAACUCAUUCUCUUGUAAACUUAUUUAAGAUCCAAAGAAUAUUCAUUUGGACGUACCAAACCCAACACAAAUUCACCCAAAAGGCUCAAGAGAUACCAAAAAGUAACUUGGCUUGGACUAAGGUAGAAAUGGCUCACACAACUUGACAGAAGGAGAAUCGGCUCGACGGUUAGCUUGGGCGCACUACUCGCAAAGAGAGGAAAAAUUAGCAGAGUUGAGGGCAACUUGUGAAGAAGUGGAGAAUCGACUCGGUGAUGCACAUAUCGGCUUGGUCAGGCAAAAGGUUCGUUCGACUGCUGCCUGCGAUGAGAUUUUGGUGGCACGAGACAGAACUUGCCGACAAUGAGGCUUGACAAAAACGUGCGAAAAAUAAAUAAAAAGAAAGAGACACCUCAACUUCACCUGUACGCGAACGGAGGAGGAAUGAUAGUGUCCACAAACGAUGAGUGAUGAUCCUUGCAAUGGGUUCAGUGACGACUAGGGUUUGUGAAGAAGGAAAAAGAUGAUGAAUAGUUCUCUUUUCUUUGCACGUUUCACGAGGGUUAAUUAUAUAUAAUAAUGAUGAUGAUAUUUAUUAUUAUUAUCAUUAUUCCUUUUCCAUUUCCAAUUAACAAGUUAACUCAAUUAAAUUAUACUCUGUCUCCUCAUCAAACCAAACUUUUUAUUUUUCCCAAGAAUACAAUAUCUUUCAAAAUAAUUAUAUUUUCCACAAUAUAACUAUUUUCUCUCGCUCAAAAAUAUCUUUCCUAAAAAAGUCAAUAAUAAAUUAUUCUUACCCUUCCAUGACUUAGUUUAUUAUAUUUACUUAUAUAAUUAGCCAAUAAUCUUAAAUCUCACCAAAAUUUCCAAUAAUACAAUUAAUUAAAUAAUCUUCCAUUGAACAUUUAAUUAAUCACAAUUUCAACAAAACAAACAAUUCUAAAAAAUUAUAACACUAGACUAAAUCCAUCAUAAAUUAAAUUAAAUUAAGAUACUUUAAAAAUAAGAUUAUGUCCCUCCUUUGAGAAACUUUCGUCCUUGAAAGUUCUAAUCCUUGUAUAGCUCGGGAUAAUGAGCUCUCAUGUUGUCCUCUCUCUCCCAAGUAGCUUUUUCGACCUCGUGGUUUUGAUAAAGAACAUUAAUUAAUUCCCCUGUUAUGAAGCAACUUAACUUCUUUUGCCAAAAUCUCAACUGGUUGCUCCUCAUAGCUCAAGUUCUCAUUGAUUUGCAAUGACUCAUAAUCAACUAUAUGUGUUGGAUCUGUUACACACUUCCUCAGCAUGGAUACAUCGUAUACAUCAUGAACUGCAGACAAUGACAGAGGCAAUGCCAAAUGAUGAGUUACGAAACGUGGACUCAGGUUUCCCUUCUUCUCAAACCUCAUAACACCCUUCAUAGGUGCUACCUUUACAAAAACCAUGUCCCCUACAUCAAACUCAAGAUCCCUACGUUGUUCAUUGGCGUAACUCUUCUGUAUGCUCUGCGCUGUCAACAUGCGGGCUCUAAUCUUCUGUAUGGCCUCAUUGGUGGUCUGAACUAGCUUGGGACAUAACAUCCUCUACUCACCAACUUCACCCCAACAUACAGAGAAUCUACAACACUUACCAUGCAGAGCUUCAAAUGAUGUCAUGUCAAUGGUAGCCUGCUAACUGUUAUUAUAAGCGAACUCCAUCAAAUGCAAAUAGGAGUCCCAACUUCCUGAAAACUCUAGCACACAUGUUCGGAACAUAUCCUCCAAAAUUUGGCUCAAACGCUCUGUCUAACCAUCAGUCUAAGGGUGAACAGUUAUACUAAAGUCCAAUCUCGUGCCCAUGGCAGCCUGAAGUCCUUUCCAAAACUUGGAAGUAAAAUAGGCAUCUCUAUCAGAAACAAUUGACACGAGCACUCCAUGUAGUCUCACUAUCUCGGUCAUAUACAACUGUGCCCACUUACUGGCAGUACAAGUGGACUUCUCUGAGAUGAAAUGGGCUGACUUCGUGAGCUUGUCAACAAUAAACCAAAUUACUUUAUAACCAUUCAGAGACCUUGGCAGUUCUAAAAUGAAAUCUAUAGACACAUUCUCCCACUUUCAUUCCGGCACACUCAAAGGUUGCAAAAAACCUGUUGGCUUCUGUUUUAGUGUCUUCACCUGUUAGCAAAUUAGAGACUUAUUGACAAAGUCUGGCACUUCCCUCUUCAUAUUUUUCCACCAGUAAACUUGUUUUAAAUAUUUAUACAUCUUUGUACUAUUUGGAUGCAUAGAAAGUGGAGAAUUAUGGGCCUCAACCAACAACUCUGUCUUAACUACACUGUCUGCUGGCACACAUAACCGUCUCUCGAACAUGAGUCCAUCAUCAGAGGAUAAAGAGAACUCCUCAGCUUACCCUACUUCUGUUAAGCAUCGCUUAUCAACCAAAUAAGGAUCAGUGAGCUGAGCAAUAAUAAUUCUCUGCCUCAAAGUUGGUUGUACUGACACCUGAGCUAACUGUGAGGUGACUUCUCCUACUAAAAAUGCAAUCUUAGCUCUCUCAAGAUCUCUGUGCAAAGGAACCUGACUAGUAAUGAGUGCUACAGAGUAUGAUACCUUCCUACUAACUCACGAUCUCAUGAUCAUAGUCCUUGACUAACUCGAGCCAUCCGCGCUAUCUCAUAUUUAUCUCAUAUUUAAGUCCUUGACCAAUUCAAGCUCUUAUGGUCAAUGAAGAUCUGAAUCUUCUCACCAUAUAAAUAAUGCCUCCAAAUCUUAAGUGCAAAAACUAUUGCUGCCAAACUCUAAAUCAUGUGUAGGGUAGUUCUGCUCAUGACUCUUCAACUGAGGAGAGGCAUAAACAACCACCUUACCUUAUUGCAUCAAUACACAACUCAAUCCUUUCUAAGAGGCAUUGCUGUAAAUCACAUAACUCCCAGAUCCAUCUGGCACUAUAAGGACUGGUGUAGUAACAAGUUUCUGUUUAAGAUCCUGGAAACUGCUCUCACAUGCUGGGCUCCAAACAAAAGGAUUCCCCUUCCUGGUUAGCUAGGUCAACGGACUAGCUAUACAAGAGAAGCCUUCCACGAACCUUCUGUAAUAACCUAUUAAACCCAAAAAACUUUAAACUUCACUGACUGUACAAGGUCGAGGCCAAAUGGUAACAACUUUAAUCUUUGCUGGGUCUAUAAUAACUCCUUCACUGGACACUACAUGGCCAAGGAACAAAACUUGCUUCAGUCAAAACUCACACUUGGAAAACUUGGCAUAUAGCCUAUUGGCUCGAAGAGUCUCUAAUACCUUAUGCAAAUACUCCUCAUGCUCAGCCUCUGUCUUGGAGUAAACCAAGAUGUGAUCAAUAAAAAAUAUCACAGAAGUGUCUAAGAAAUCCUUAAGCACCUUAUUCAUCAAAUCCAUAAAUACACCAGGAGCAUUUGUCGAGCCAAAGGACAUCACAAUAAACUCGUAAUGUCCAUAUCUGAAAAGGCAGUCUUGGGAAUAUCACUGUCUCUAAUCCUCAAUUGGUAAUAUCCUGAUCGUAAAUUGAUCUUAAAGAACACAGUGGCUCCCUAAAAGUGAUCAAACAAGCCAUCAAUCCUGGGCAAUGAAUAUUUGUUCUUGACUAUCACCUUAUUAAGCUUUUUAUAGUAAAUGCAAAGACACAUCAACCCAUCUUUCUUCUUCACAAAUAAUGUCGGUGCUCCCCAAGGUGACAUACUAGAUCGAAUAAAGCCCUUGUCCUAUAAUUCUUGCAACUAGACCUUCAACUCCUUCAGCUCAGCUGGAGCCAUUCUGUAUGGAGCUCUCGAUAUGGGACCAAUGCCUGGUUUCAGUUCAAUAGCAAAAUCAACCUCUUUGUGAGGAGAAAGUCUUGAAAGCUCUUCUAAAAAAACAUCGGGGUAUUUCCUUACCAUUCAUUCAGAUGAUAAGGAUACAUCGGGCUCUCUGGUAUCUACAACACUAGCCAAGAUACUCUAAGUACCUUGGUUGAACAACUUACUGGCCUUCAUGGUUGAGAUAACUUUGGGUAGGCCACAGUCCCCGCCCCCUUAUACUUUAAACUAGUCGCCUCAUGAGGGUUAAAAACUACCUCCUUGCGAGAAUAAUCUAUGUUUGCAUGGUUAGCAGAUAGCCAAUUCAUGCCCGAUAUUACAUCAAAGUCUUGCAUGUGUAAUACUAAUAAAGUUACAUCUAAAACAUAUAUGCUAUUUCUAUUUAACAUGUUUUUAUCUUUCCUUUCGACAACAUAAUUUCUCCAGAUGGAGUAGAGACAAAUAACAUAUAACUCAAGGGUUCUACUUGUAAACUCAUAUGUUGAACAAAAAUUGGCGAUAUAAAAGAAUGAGAGGACCCUGAGUCAAAUAAUAAUAAAGCAACGUGCUCCAAGAUUAGAAGUGUACCUAUCACCACUGUGUAAGCUUUCUCAGCCUCCUGUUGAUUAGUGGCAAAAACUCACCCCUAUCGAGAUGUAGAAGUCUAGUUCGAGAUAGGUUCAAACUAUUUCUGAGGGUAAUUAUCAGCUAUAUAUAUGUCAGGUUGCCUACACUUGUAGCAUAUACUACUUCCUAUUAGGCAAUGACCUGAAUGAGACCUUUCACAAUUAGAACACAUGUAUACUUCCUUCAAGGUUUUGCCUGCCUCAACAACCUACUGUCUAAGCUGCUGGAACAAACCACCUAAUCUCAAAUUCCUUUGUGGUGCUACUGUAGGCUACUGCUAAGCCUUCCUUUUCUACCCUACAAUUGGACCAUUCUCUACAGCCUUGGCCAUCUUUAUCCUCUCAUGCAAACUCAAAUCCACUGUCAUGUGUAGUGCAUCAUCUUAGGUAGCUAGUCUAAAGACUCUAACGAAACCCUGGAUCUCCUACUUAAUGCCUUUGACAAACUUGUCAACUCUCUCAGUCUCAGUUCUCACUAACUCAGGUGCAAAUCGGGAUAACACAUCGAAGUCUUGAUCAUACUCCUCUAUGGCCAUAUUGCCUUGCUCCAACUUUAAGAACUCUUGACACGAAGAAGAAUUUGGCAUGAAAAUUCUCCUUAAACUACUUUUAGGUGAUCUGACUCAUAUCUCCACCCAACAUCCUCUAUGUGGACUUCCACUAGCCUCUGUCUCUAUCAGUUAGUAAGAACACGACGCACUAAACUUUUUGGUCAUUGGAGCACUUCAUGUAACGAAAGAUAGUCUUCACCGAACUCAACCACAUCUGCGCCUUGGUGGAGUUUGCCAAGGAUCCAUCGAAAGUCCGAGGGUUAUACUUCCUGAAAUCCCUCAAGUGUUUGGCUUCUGCUGAAAGCAUAUCAAGUAGGUUAUAUGCUACAAUUGGGGCCUAAACUCCCGCAACUGGGAUCUAAACACUUGCAGCCGGUGUCCGUACAUGAGUUGUUUGGAUAUCCUAGGUAGGUUGUCACUGUGCCAAUACUUUGAACAAUAAGUCUAUGUACAUUUACUAGAAGAAAACUACCCUACAAUGACAGUUAUAUAUCUCAAAAAAUGAAUGGAAGAAAAAAAAACUGUCACGAAAUAUAAAAUUUCGCGUUUUUGGCAGGAAAAGACGGAAUUUUUCGGAAAACACUUUUCGUGACAGUUAUUAACUGUCAUAGAAUGUUAGGGUUAAAAUUUUUUUCUUUUUUCCUUUUCUUUUCUUUUUCCUUUUUCUUUCUUUUCCCUAUUUCCUUCUUCCUCCCCGUGCGUCCUUCCCCUUCUCCCCAGCCGCAACCGCCGCGCCUCUUCUCCUUCCUCCCGUACGCCACGACGACUCCACCGUCUCCUUCUCCUUUCCUUCUCUUUUCUCUUUUCCUUCCGCCGUUCCCUUCCGUCUUUCUUUCCGCCGCAGCCCAGCCGCCCCAUCCUUCCCCUUCUCUCCGUUCGCGAAGCAAAACCGCCACCGACCGACCUCCAUUCCUCUUCUCCUUCCCGUUCGCAGCCCCGCCGCAAACCGUCGCCUCCCUUCCCUUCCAUUUUCUUCUUCCGUCCGCAGCCCUGCCGCAAACCGCCGCGUCUCCCCUACUGAAGCCGAGCGUCGCGACCCUUCUCCUCUUCUCUUCAGUUUGCAAAGCAGCCGUACGCGUCCAGAUCUGCCGCCGUCCAGAUCUGCACCGCAAGACCGCGUCGUUGCCCUUCCGCCGCUGCCCGGUCCAGAUUUGCGUCGCCGUGCACAGCCUCACCGCCGCUGAAACCGUUUCCGCGUCUUGUUCUGUUUCCGUCGAAGCCGAGCCACCGUGUGAAGCAGUAACCGCCAUGUAAUGCCCCAAAAGAAAAAGAAAACAAAAAAGGAAAGGUAUAUAUAUUAUUUUUAUUAAUUUAAAAAUAAUAAUAAUAAUAAUAAAGAAAUUUAUUAUUAUUAUUUUUUUUCUUGUUUCUUUUCUUUCUUCUUUUUCUUUUUUUUCUUUUUCUUUUUCUUUUUCUUUUCUUUUCUCUUCUCUUCUCUUCUCUUCUCCUCCCGUGCGCCGUGCGCCCUUCCCCUUCUCCCCGUUCGCAGCGCAGCAACCGCCACCGGCCGACCUCCAUUCCUCUUCUUCUUCCGUUCGCAGCAGCCGUCGGCCGCCACGUGACCACUACCCAGUCCAGAUCUGCGUCACAGCCCAGCAACCGCCGCCCCUAUUUCCUUCUUCCGCCGUGCGCCGCGACUCCCACCGAUCUUUUCCCUUCCGUUUUCUUCCCGCCGCAGCCCAGCCGCCCCAUCCGUUCGCACAGCAACCGCCGCCGGCCAUCUCCAUCUUCUCUUCUCCUCUCCGUUCCGUCCAAACCCAGCCGGACGUCGCUGCAACCAUCGGCCAGUUCGCGAGGCAGCCGUACGCGUCACCUUGCGGCCGCCGUCCAGAUCUGUACCGCAAGACCUUCCGCCGCUGCAGCCAUUGCUCUUCCGCCGCUGUCCAGCCGUCUCAGCCGGUUCUGUCUCCGUUGAAGCCAAGGCCGCCGCGUGAACCAGUAACCGCCACGCUCCCCGCUCACAACUGCCGCUCCACCUGCUAUCGACGUCGGCCGACUAGUUGCUGUAACCGUUCAGAUUUGCUGUAACCAUUCAGAUUCGCGGUCUGUUCGCGACGGUCUCCAUCCGUGAAGCCCAGCCGCCACGUUCCCUUUGGCCGACCGCUGACCGACCCACACUUAGGAUUUUUGCUGCGAGUUCGACAGUCGUGCGUUGAGGUGUUGGGAGUAACGUUAGGCUCCCUUACAUUCACAACCAGUUUGUGAGUUGUUGAGGGUUCAGUUCGCCAAUAUGUCGGUGAGUUGGAACUUACGUUGAGGAAAGUAAGUGAGAUAUGUAUCGUGAAAGUAAUUGAAUUUUGUGUUGUUGUGCUUAGGAUUGUUUCGAGGACGUUAGUUGAUUAAGGAGCUUCCCCAACUUUGAGGUAAGGGACUUUCUACUGGACUCACCUAAAGUUUUUGAGUUGUGUUGGACUGUAUGGAUGAUGAUUAAGAUGUACAUGUUUGGUUGUAGACUAAAUGUUUAGUGUAUGUUGUAUUUGACUGGAAACAUAUAUAUAUACAUUGACGUGUGAAUUGAUGUGGAUUGCCGAAAGUAUACAUGUGAAUGACUGAAAUUAUGCUUAUGUGUACAUGAUGAUAUUAAUAGAUUGUGCUGUAUAAAGAUUUGGAUGUGAACUAGUGAAUUUGUUUCGGUUGGAUGUGGAUUAUACUGAACUGUGGUUUGUGCUGGUGAACUAAGGGGUGUAUUGACUGUAUAGUUUAAUUGACUGACGUAUUAGUAUAUUAUUGACAGACAUAUGACUAAAGUGAGAUAAGUUGACUGUUAGGACGUCGAGAGAAAGAACUUUAUGUUUUGAAGUAACUGAAAGAUGGAUUGAAUGGAAUGAGGGGAUAAAUUGUUAGGUUGUAUUGGGAUGUUUACCUUGUAGGUGUCCCACGGGACCACCAAAGCUACUGCUCGAUUUCUUUCGCAAAACACUAAAUGAAAAAUGCAAUUAUAUCAAAGUUGAUGUCCUAAAGAAGAAAAGUAAAAGAGAAAAAGGGAUUUGGGGGCGAAACUCCGGGACAGGGACAGAGGGCCUGAGAAAAAUGGCGGCAAGGAUGAAAGCGGUGGCGACGCUGCCUAAUCUAAUUAGAACCCUUAAAAAUGAUCGCCGGAAGCCUGGUUUCAGCCAGCCUCUUCCGUCGUUGAGACGUGCCUUUUCACUUUACGAUCAGAUCAAUCUCAUCGACAAUGUCCCUGAAGAUCAGCUUCGUUUUCAACGGUACUGCCCUAACUUCUCCUUUUUGUCUUUUGCAUCGAUUUCUUUCCUCAAUUUUAUAUCUUUGACUCUUUUAUGCGGGGAUUUAAGGUAUACUGAGACGGGGUUCACUGUGAAUGGAGUGGAUUAUGAGGGCAGCUUGCUUUGUGUUGGGAAUUUGUUGAUGUCUUGGACUCCUAAGAAAUUUUCGGAAAUUACGUCUGAUAGGUUUGCUUUGCAUUUCUUGUUCCUAACUUACAAUACUCAAUUUACUUCUUUUGUUCUUUUUGGUGAUUGAAAUGUUUUUUUUUUUUUUUUUUUUUUGCAACUUAUCUAUCUUCCAGAUUGUGCGCCCUAUUCCAGGUAAAAUCUGUUGUUGUGUUUGGAAAAUGUGUUGAAUUAUUGGGCAUUGUUGAAGUAGUUUUAAUACGAGUGUCUAAAGAUACCUAGAUUUGACGUUUCUAUUGAAAUGUGUUUAUUACUAAAGGACGUCUGUGAUUUUCCUUGGCAAUUGGUGCCCAAAUGUUAUAUGGUAAGUUGUAUUGUCCUGUCAGAUUAUUGAGGUGAAGUGCAAGCUGGCCCGCGACUGUGGACGAGUAAGGUUCUUGGACUAGUUUUUCUGUGCUUGAGCAUGAGCAAGACUUUAACUUUAUCAUUCCUUUCCUUCUUUCAAUACUGUAACAUGUGGGGUAAGAUUUUCACGUCUGCCUUAGACGAGGAUAUCAUGUGAGAUAGUGCAGGUUGUGGCCUAAUUGUUCCUUUGAAGUAUCCCACAAUACAACCAUGCCUUAGUUUUGCUGUUUAAAUAAUUAGAUUUUUGAUAAUUUGACUCGUGUACCUAGUUAAAAAUGUAGACGGAUCUGAAGCUUUUAAACAGGAAGAUGAUGAGGAUUUUUUUUCUUCACUCUUUCUCGUUUUUUUCUUCCUUCUCUCUCUUUCGGCUGAUAAGCAAGUCUACCCUCCAUAUACCUUUCUUUGGCACUCCGAAUCGGUCUUAAUACUCCAUCCAGCUAGGUGAUAGCUUCUAACCUCUGCCGAUAUUCACACCUUCCCGAUCCCGAUACUCUCUCUAUUUUGAUUAUGCUAGAAGAGGGAAGAGGACCAAAUGAGAUAUUUACAUUAGCUAGCUAAUGUUGUAAGGGACGUGUAAUAUGUUAUAGAGGAGAUGGGAGAAUGAAUCUAGAAUUUGUAAAUUUGUUAUUGAGAAAGGGAGGAAUAACAUAAUUAGAGUGGACUCGUAAUAUUUAUCAAUUAAAAGCUUCUUGAAUAUGUGAAAGAUUUGCACUUUUCAGCCAUUGAAUGAAUUACCCAAGACCUAAACUCUUGUUUCUUUAUUCUUUCUCUGAUUCUGAGAUGAGGAUGUCAAGUGUACGUUUCUGUUAACAAGGUUUAUGGUUUUCUUUCUUAGGCAUUCUUCUAGAAUCUGACAUGAGAGAUUACUUCCAUUUAAAGUUGAAUGCAUAAGCUAGCCUGUAAACCAAAUAUUCUGUUUAUUUUCGAGCUCUGCCGUCAUCAUCUUAGUGCCGUGUAUUGUUCAUAUUUGCUCUUUGCUAGCACAUUUUUGUUGAUUUCUACUGUCAACUGAUUAAUUUUCUUAAUUUUAAUUUUUUUUAAAUCUUUCUUAUUGUCAGAAAUUCUAAUACUUGGCUGUGGGAGAUAUACUAAACCAGUAAAUCCUGAAUUGAGGCAGUUCAUUCGUUCCACUGGCAUGAAGUUGGAAGCUGUAGACACGGUACUUUUGGUUUGAAAUUAUGUUGUUUGUCGAAUUUGUCUUGAUCCAUAAGAUAAUUACUUUUCAUGCAUCUGAAAAUCAAGAUUUUGAGCUAUCUUAUGGAUCUGUGACUAUUGGUGGGAAACAGUAUAUUCUUUGUUUAGGAUAAGAAAAUAGGUGGGAAAACAUCCACCAACCAUAAUAGCCUCGUCAAAAGAGAUUGUAGUGGGUUACUGUAUUGUCUAGUUUGUGAUAAGAUAAAUUAACGUGUCAUCAAUUCACCAGUAACAUCCUCUUUUCCUUACAAUCCCUUGAUCAGAUGGGUAUUAAAGACUUUUUAGUGUAGGAUAUUAAAAACCACAUGUUUCUUCAUCAAUAAAAAGAAAAGAAAAAAAAACUAACCCACAUGAUGUAGUGGAAAUAGGAUCUGAAUUAUAGGUGAUAUUUGAGAAUGAUGUUAAGUUCAACUGUUCAAGAACUAUCUUUAGAGCCAUAUGUCAACUUUUGCUUAAGAAAGAAACAAGUGGGUUGUUGUUGAGUAAAUUACCAAUUACAAUGAUCAACCGGGGACUUGCUAGUUUAAACAGUGGGCUGUUUGGAAUCUCGAAUGGUCUCAUUUUGUCUAAAUUUAACUAGUUUUUGACACGAUGGAUAAUUUGUUACUGUAGAUCAAGUAGUUAUCUGCACUCUCUCUUUCUCUCAAGGCAAAUCAUCCAUGUCCAGCAAUUCUCUUCAUAUCCUAUGUAUUUCCGUACACUACAAACCUAAUCGAUAUUUGAUAUUUGAAAAAUGAGGGUACUUCAGAUAUAGGGCAGAAUUAUGCACUCUACUUGGGAAGAGGGCUGUCUCUUCUUGUACAACUACUUUUCACUUAACCUUUAACCUCAGACCUUGGGGAGGUUGAGAGUACAUGUAUAGACCAGUUGACCUAUGUUCGAGUUGGCAUGUUUAUCCUUAACAAAGCUUUGUUAUUUGCAGAGAAAUGCGACAUCAACUUAUAAUAUCCUAAAUGAGGAGGGUAGAAUUGUAGCUGCAGCGCUUCUGCCUUAUGGAGUUUCUUCAUGACCCACCGCCCAGAGCCAGACUCGGUUGUUGUUAUGGAUGCCUCUAAAUUGCAGGAUUCUUCUACCUCUCAAAUCUUACAAGUAUUACUUAGCGCUUUGAUCUCUACUCAUUUGUAGAAUGACUACAACUAUCGAGUCACUUGGUCCUUUUUGCUGUAUAGAUAUACUGUUAUUGUCAUAACCUGCCAUCAAGAAUUAUAGUGUAUAUAUAUUAAAGUGUUGGUUAUUUUCUUGUACAUUGGUGUGAAACUUGUAUAAUUUCAAAUUUGUCAUUCUCAGCUACAUUAUUGUCAUUCUAAUGGUUCGUGUAAUGGUGGAGCUGCAUGGAGAACAUAAUAAAACUAUAGGAAAUUGAGAAAUGUGAUAGUUAAUAGUUGUUGUAAAUUGGAGAACGAUGACAGUUAUUUAACAAAAUAAAUUGUCACGAUUGCUCUAUAUGUGACAGGAAUAACAUGUCGUCAUAUGAUAAACAAUGACAAUUUUUUAAAAAAAAAACUGUCACGAUUGCAUUAUAUUUGACUGGAAAAAAAUGUCGUCAAUGGCAAAACAAUGACAUUUAAUGUUAUCGAAAAACUGUCACGAUUGCACAAUCGUUGACUGGAAAAAAAUGUCGUCAAUAACUAAACAAUGACAUUUUUACAAAAAAAAACUGUCGCGAAAAACAUAUUCAUGACAAUUAAUACAUGUCACGAUAAUAGAAUUCGUGACAAUUAUUUAACUGUCGUUAAUAAAGAAAUGAUGAUAGUUAUUGAAUGUCAUAAAAUAAAUUAUGACAGUUAUUGAAUGUCGUUGAAUGUUGAUUAACAACAUUUAUUUCAUGUCAUAAAACAACCUAUUGCGACAGUUUUCAAAAACUGUCGUCGAAGGCCUUUCCAUGACUCCCGCUUCUAUGACUGAAAAUAACUGUCGCGAAAUCCGUUCGCGACAGUAAAUAACUGUCGUCGUAGCCCACUUUUGUACUAGUGAUUUGCUCCAUGGCAGCAAGGUAUGCAUGAGUGACAGGUGCAGUAGGGUCGAUAACUUGUACAACAUGCUGUCCUUAAGGCUGGUUACGUCUAAAAAUUAUUUAAAUUCAAAAACUGUAACACCUAAAAAUUAAGGUAAUUUUAUUUUUUUAAUUAUCUUAGUUUAAUUUAAUUUAUGAUGGAUUUAAUUGGGUGUUAUAAUUUUUUUAGUAUUGUGGAAAUUGUGAUUAAUUGAAUGUUCAGUGGAAGAUUAUUUAAUUAAUUAUACUAUUGAAAAUUUUGGUGAGAUUUAAGUUUAUUGGUUAAUUAUAUAUGUAUAUAAUUAAUUAAGUUAUGGAAGGGUAGAAUAAUAUAUUAUUGAUUUUUUUUAGGAAAAAUAUUUUUUAGAGAGAAAAUAAUUAUAUUGUGGAAAAUCUAAUUAUUUGGAAAGAUAUUGUAUUUUUGGGGAAAGUAAAAAGUUUGGUUUGAUGGGUAUUUAACGAGGAGAGAAAGUAUGAUUUGAUUUUGGUUAAUUUGUUAAUUAGCAAAAGAAAAGGAAUAAUGAUAAUAAUAAUAAAUAUCAUUAUUAUUAUUAUAUAUAAUUAACCCUUGUGAAACGUGCAAAAAAGGGAACUAUUCAUCAUCUUCUUAAUUCUUCACAAACCCCAGCCGCCAUCGUGCUCCGUUGCAAGGAUCACCGCUCGUCGUUUGUUGACACCGUCAUUCCUCCUUUGUUCCUUAGUGACGAAGUCGCACAAGCCGACUAUGCACCCCCCACCUCCUACGUUUGCAUGUAGGUGAAGCCGAGGAAUCUCUCUCUUUUCAUUUCAUCAAUCAUCUAGUUUUUGAACGUUUUCAUUAAGCCUUACCGUCGUUAAGUUUUGUCUCGUGCCACCCAGAUCUCAUUGCCGGCAAUCGUUAAACGAACCCUUGCUUGAGCAAGUCGAUCUGUGUAUCACAGAGCCACUUAUCUACUCCUUCGUAAAUCGCGCUUGUCACAGCCGAUUUCUUUCUCCUUUUGUGAGUUGUGCACCCGAGCUGACUGCCAAGUCGAUUCUCCUCCUGCAGAGCCGCGUGGGCCAUUUCUACCUUAGUUUAAGCCAAGUUGCUUUUUGGUAUCUCUUGAGUUGUGUUGGUUUGGUAUGCCCAAAUGAAUAUUUUUUGGAUCUUAAAUAAGUUUACCAUGGAAUGAGUUAAAUUAUUUUUGUUUGAAGGUUCAAGUGUUAAUUUGAGGAUUUGAGACUCCGAAAUUUUCCAUUCAAGGUUUUGUUUGAUUCAACCUUAAUCUUGGGGGUCAGUUUGGAUGCUUAAUUAAAUAGUUGGAAGUUUGGAUGCUUAAUUAAAUAGUUGGGUGAUGGUUGACAAAAUUAAUAAUUUUAAUUUUGUUUAUGUUUAUGACUGAAUUAGUUGAUAAUUAAUCUCCAGGUAAGAAGUUUUAUUAUUAGAUCCUUACAUUAUGUUUUCUCUUAGUAUGCAUUAACGUAGCCAUGAUGCAUGUGAUGUGACUGUGAAGAAUGUUAGAUAAUGAUAGCUACAUAAAAAAUCGUUAUGUAUGACUAAGAUAUGUGAUGACCACGAUAUGUUAUGAAUGAGAUAUACUAUGGUUGAGAUACAUCAUGUUUGAGAUAUGUUAUUUAUGUUAUGUUAUAUGUAUAGACUAUGAUGUUGUGUUAGCUUUACCUAUUAGAGUCGUAUCAUAUGGGUGUCCCUCGAGAUCACCACCUAUUUAUGUUUGUGUGACUUAGCUUUUAUAUGCGAAUCAAUAGGAUCACUUACACUUCUUUAGGGUGACUCCUUCGAGUUCACCAAGAGUCUAGAUGUGUUCCUACAAGAUCACUGGAUAGCGUACGUUUGGGAGCACAAUAGAUAUUCGAUAUUUUCUUACAGGACUAUAACGAGAGGUUAACAGACACGUGGCAGGAGUAGUAGUGGGUCACUUACUUAGUAUAAAUUUAUACUCACCCUUUUCUAUGUUUAAUUUUUCAGGUAAAGGAGCAGGUAAAGGCAAGCUCGCGAAUGGCAAGAAGUGACCGUGGAUCGUCAUAGGGAACAUCUUAUGUUUUCUUCCACAUUUAUGUUUUGAGUAUUAAAUUUAUUUCAGAACCCAUGUUUACUUUUAGAUAUAUUUUUUUUAUUUUAAAUAGGUUCCGAACUAAUAUUUUAUUAUAUACUUUACUUAUAUUUUAUGAGUGUUUCUUUUUAAAACUUAGUAUUUUCUUUGAUUUAAAUAAAAAGUCUUUAUUUGUUUUAGUGGUAAUGAUCUCACCUUAGUAUAAAGUGUUGGAUCGUUACAGAAAGGUAUUUUAGAAACACUUUUCGAGGAGCAUUGUUCAAUCUGCAUACCCCCAAAACGAGCAAGGCAAUUGAGCAUGACUCAUUAUUAAACGAACCAUGUCUAACAAGGUUUUAUUUCUCAUUUCUAAUAUACCAUUUUGUUGAGGUGUACCAGGUGCUGAAAGUUGUAAUUGGAUUCCAUGUUCUAUCAUAUAGUCCUGGAAUCUCAAAUCCAUAUACUCUCCACCUCGAUCAGAUAAAAGUAUUUUAAUUUUUUUACUUGAUAGAUUUUUAACUUCAGCCUUAUACUUCUUGAACUUUCCAAGAGCUUCAGACUUACGUUUCAUUAAGUAUAAAUAAUCAUACCUUGAAUAAUCAUCUAUAAAAGAGAUGAAGUAUUCAAAACCUUCUCUAGCUUUUACAUUCAUUGGACCAUAGUGGUCUGAAUGUAUAAGUUCUAUGGGCUCUUUGGCUCCAUAGCAUUUUCUAGUAAAAGGUCUCUUUAGUCAACUUUUCUUCAAGACAAGAUUCACAUGGAGGCAAUGAAUCAUCUUCUAACUCAUUUAGAAGUCCAUUCUUUACCAAUCUCCCGAUCCUAUCGAGAUCAAUAUGACCUAAUCUUGAAUGCCAAAGAUAGGUAUUAUUUUGAGUAUUAGCAGUUUUAAACAUCUCAUGAUUUAAAAUUGCUUUCGCUUUGUUAGGUCUUAAUACAUACAAAAGUUGUCUUCAAGCUUAGCUGAACAAAUGUGUACACCAUUCUUAGAAAUGAACACUUCAUUUAAAGAAAAAUGUUACAUUAUAUGAUUGUUCAAUAAGACAAGAAAUAAAUAUAAGAUUCCUUUUAAUCUUAGGAACUAUAUACAAGUUUUUUAAAAACAAGAAUCUAUUUUAAAAAGAAAAUUUAACAUCUCCCAUUACACGAGCUGAAAUGGCAUCUCUCGUUUUAACUUCGAGUGUAUCUCAUCCUCCUCGAGUAGCUUAAAGGAACUAGUUUUAUGUAAAGAAGAGCAAACAUGACUAGUGGCUCCUAAAUCAAGUAUCUAGACAUUUUGGUCAUUUUCCACUAAACAUGUUUCUAAGGCAAGUAAAUUAUAUUUACUUUCUUUUUAAUUCUUCUUAAAUAUCUCUUGAAGCGAAUCCUUGAUCUGACGUCUAAUGACCAUGGUUUUGUGUUUCUUGCUUAGUAUGUCAGACAUACUAGACAAGAGAUACACACAGGCCUUGUCAUUGGCCUUUGUCCAAUGAUUAUAUGCAUCCCUAAAAUUUUUAGAUGCAUUUCGAGCAGAGGAAGUAGCAAAAUGGUGUAGUUGAAAGGAAAAAUCGUACUUUGCAAGAAUUUGCUAGAUCAAUGUUGAAUGAGUAUGGUUUACCUAAAUAUUUUUGGACGGAAGCCGUUCACACCGCUUGCUAUGUUUCAAAUAGAGUUUUAGUUAGACCCUCUUUAGAUAAAACUCCUUAUGAACUUUGGCAUGGUAAAAUUCCAAAUAUUGGGUAUUUCAAAGUUUUCGGUUGUAAAUGUUUUAUUUUGAAUAACAAAGAAAAACUUGGAAAAUUUGAUUCUAAGACGGAUGUUGGUAUUUUUCUAGGAUAUUCCUCUACUAGUAAAGCUUAUAGAGUUUUCAAUAAGAAAACUUUAGUUAUUGAGGAAUCUAUUCAUGUUGUAUUUGAUGAAUCUUGGAAUAAUGUUUCUAAUGAGUCUAUUUGUAGUGAUGAUUUAGAAAAAGAUUUUGGAGAUUUACUUGUUAAUGACAAAGGCAAAGAAAUUGUUCCAAGUAUGCAAGAUGUGAACAUCAUAGAAAAGAAAGAAGAGGGUUCUUCAUCCUUGCCUAAAGAGUGGAGAUAUGCUCUAUCCCAUCCCAAGGAUCUAAUUCUUGGCAAUCCCGAACAAGGUGUCAAAACUCGUUCUUCUAUUAAUUUAUUUAGUAAUCUUGCUUUUGUGUCUCAAAUUGAACCUAGAAGUUUUAAAGAUGCCGAAUGUGAUGAGUUUUGGAUUUUAGCUAUGCAAGAAGAAUUAAAUCAAUUUGAAAGAAACAAAGUUUGGAAAUUAGUCCCUAGGCCUUCUAAUGCAUCUACAAUCGGAACAAAAUGGGUUUUUAGAAAUAAGAUAACGAAAGCAAAGUGCUUUCAAGAGCUAUGGUUAUCUGCUUUUUUGGAAGGUGAUGAUAUCACAUUAGAGGCAAUUCUCUGACGGUGAAGAACAAUGAAUAUGAUGAAAAUUAACAUAUUUACCUGUUCAGCAUCCAAAUGAACCUCCCCGCCAAAGGACACAGAAGCUUUAACCAUCUUUGAGAGUAAAUAAAGUUCAAGUUCAAAAUUGCUCACAUCAUCAUGAAGUUUUGAUUCUAUCAGAAGCACAAAUCCAGAAUAAACCUCAUAUAUAACACUACAGGAGAAGUCAAAUUUAUAAGCCUGAAGAGUGGUCCCUUCAACUUGUUCUUCCCAAGUUCCAGAUAAAGCUCUGAUCGCAGUUCUGCCGUGCAGUUCCUUUCUUUUUGUUGAUCCUUUAAGACCCGAAAAAGUGCCAUCAAAUUAUACAUUAAAAGCAUUAAAAGGAGAUUGGAAACAGGGCAUCUAGUCAAUGACCAAGUAGAAGAAACACAUACAGAAAUAUCCCUUCAACGCCUGGCCAGUUACCAGUCAAAUUCACAGAAAAUACCAGGCAAUAGGAACGUAUACAAGUUUGAUUCUUCUCUUUUGUGAAAAAUAAGAACUUUCAUCAACAAAAAGAGAGAUACAUGAGGGUUGCAUAAAGUUGAAUCACACAAAAACCAAAGAAAUUAAAUAGGAAUAUAGGUAAAUAGACAAUUCAAGAGGUCUAUAACGAUGAAUAUAAAUACAAACGAGCUGAUUAUUGUUUGGGCAUCAUAGCUACAAAGGACACAGUUCAGUGUCACUUCUUACAUAUCUUUAAAGAAAAAAAUGGUCAUAGGAUAAAGAAACUUUUUAUAGCACAUAUUUGUACCAUUAUAUUUGGAUGUACCCAAUGGAGAGAUGACACUUUUUAAGGUUUCAAACAAGUAGGAUUUUUCUAACAAGAAACCAUUUUACCCAGAGUAGAAAAUGUUGUACAGAUUUUAUUUAUCAAUGAAAUGUUUCUUAUCUUAAAAAAAAAAAAAGUUAAACGGCCCCUCUGGACAAGUUAUACCCUUUUCCAUUUAUCGAGUUUCAAAUGGACUUUAUCUAUAACAGGCUGCCAAAAAGACUGCUGUUUAGAAUAACCACCAUGAGGUAAGCCAAGAUAUAUAAAGGCAAUUACCAGCCUCCCAAUUCAGCCUUGAAGAAGUAGAGAUCAAUGUAGCCUCAUCAAUAUUGCCUCCAUAUAAUGCUUACUUCUCCCAAUUAACUUGCUGCCCUGAGCACAAUUCGAAGAGAAUAUCUAACAUGGCUUCUAUUUUUUAUUCUAAAAUCUUUCAAUCCUGCAAUCAUAGACGAUACCUUUCUUUUUGUAAAUAAGGAUAAGUAGGACGUGGGGAGUUUGAAAGGGUUGCUUGUAGAAGAGUUAGAUGAACCCCCCCCCCCCCCCCCCUCCCCCGAGUGGUUCCAUGAUUGUAAACAUCUCUCAACUUUCACAAUCAUAGGAGUUCAAAAGGAUAACAUACGAGGCUUGUACUUUUUGCGAGAUUGUGGAGUGCAUAAUGAAUCUAAAGAAUAUUUAAGGUAACAGAUAGCCUCCUAACAAUGAAAUGCAUUGAAAGAAAAUGUUGCACUAAGAAAAAUAAAUAACGAAUUCUGCUCAAUAUAAUAAAAAUCAAACAAAUCAACAUAAUGGACUUACUGUAUUGCCUUUCUCUAUGUACCAAUGAAGCCUAUCAACAAUCUGCAUUGCAGAAGACAUUUUAGUAUUUACAAGGACUAUGAAAUGGAAAAAAUAAUGAGAGCGAGAAAAAAUUAAACAGGAAAAAUAAUGGAGAAAACACGUCCAUAUGUCUGGACAGCAAAAAAGACCGGCUGCUAACAAUUUCCUUCUGCUAUCACACAUUGAUGUUUUAUAAGAGACAUCAUCAGACAAAAGCGAAGUAGAAACAGCUUAGGGACGGUGAAAAGUGAACCCCAUCCCAAAAAAACUAAUUGCAGAAAAUUUGACCAAUUGUUGUGAUGCAAAGAAAUUGGAUAAUUGCAAAAGAAUUGGCUAUAACUAUGAGCCCACCACAAGGAGAUGAGUUGUAAAUUUCCACCAAAAGAAGUUAUAUCAGAAGACUUAGCUUCAAAAAGUUUAAAGUUACUUUCAAGCCAACGCAACUAAAGGAAUGCCCCGACAGCAUACCCCAAAGGACUUCAACUUCACUUGAGAAAGCCAGUCAUCAAUAUGAUUAGAAUUAGAAAGACAAGCGGAAAUCUGAAGGUACUAAGCAGAAAGCUUCUUCCCUUGGAAGCAAAGAAGCAAUGAGGAAAAAGGUGAUAAAUAUUGUCCUCCUUUUCCAUAUACAAACUGCAUAUGAACAGGCAAAAAGGUUAAACCUCAUCAAAUUCUGAAGCCUAUCCUGAUUAUUAAGACUCUUAUAAUCUCAGGACCAUAUAAACACUUCCAUGUUCUUUGCGAUCUGAAAAUUCAAUACACUUUUAAUAAGUCAGGACAUCAAAGAAGUAUUCACUUUAAAAAUAUUCAUAAAUGCCUCCUCCCACUUUGUGAAGAGGGAUAAUGUGAAGAAACUAAUUUUGCAAGGGGGUUCGGGUGAUACCCAGUACAGAAGAGAAGUCCAAUUGUAAAAAAAACCAUUUCAUUUAUAAAUGAAAUCUGGGGAAAACCCCAAACACCUAAAGGAACUUAUAGAAGAGAAGGAUGUCCAAUUGUUAACUAAAAUAGAUUAUCUAUAGAGAGAGGGGGGCUUAGCUUUACACCAAGGAAAAGAAAUAGACAGAACAAAUUCCAUAAAAUAUUUGAACAAGAAGAAUCAUGAAAAAGCCACUUAUUCCUUUCACCCCACAGAUACCAAAAGAACGCCGCAUGUCAACCAAAGUGUCAUCUUUGUACCACCAAAGGGUUGACCCACCAGAAGAGAAGCCAAUGUGUCCAAAAUGUUAUUAAGACACGUAUAAGACCAUCAAAAAGCCUAAAAAGAAUAUCCCAAAAAUUGGCAGCAAGAGGAAAAUGGAAAAACAAAUGGAUCGAAGAUUCAGCGUAGCAGCAACACAUGUGACACCAAGAAGGAGAAAUAGACAUAUAAAGCAUGCAACGUGGAAGACAAUCAGCAGUAUUGAUGGCACCCCAACUAAGAUCUUAAAGAAAAAUUUUCAUCGUUUUAGGAAAAUCUAUCUUUCCAAAUCACAGAACAAAAAUCAGACAAUAAUGGAUCAACCGUGCCCACUAAGUCAGCUAUAAGGGAUCUAACAGUAAAACCAGAAGUAGGAUCAAGAGGCCACAACCAAGAAUCCAAAUAGCAGUGCAAGCUAACAGCAGCCAGGUGGAGAGAUACUAAGGCCCUUUUGACCAAGUGGAUUCAAAGAUAUUACAAGCAAAAGUUCUCUGUUGGGUGGAAGGUGCUCACAGCUUAUUAUAGCUCCUCACAUUUCCAACCAAAAGCCUAUUCUCAGUGUCAAGUCUUCCUCAUAUAUCCCACGGAAAAGGAUUAUAAGCUACUGCCUAUUGUCAUCUUCCUUUUUCCCAUAUUUCUUUCAAGAUUGGAAUGGGUCAAUACUUUGUUUUCAAUCCACUUGGAGAUCAAAAGGAACUGGAUGGAUCUUUCUUGAAGCUCAUGGAAAAUCAGGAAGAAUGUUAACCAAGUGAGAUGAAAGUAAAUUUUCUUUUAUUGAAGUAUUGAAAGGGGCCACUCACUGUCAGUUAAAUGCAGAACAAUGUGCAAUAAGUUGUGUUGGGUAACCAAUAUUUAUGGACCUACUGAUUACAGAGGGAAAAUUCAUUUGGUCAGAGCUGCUCUCCCUCAUUGGUUAUUGUAUAGAAGCUUGGUGUUUGGGAGGGGAUUUUAAUAUGACCAAAUCAAAGGGGAGCGAUUUCCAGCAAGUAGAAUGACUUGUGGCAUGAAUGAGGAAAUUCAAUAAAUUCAUUGAAGAAUGGAAACUCAUUGAAGUUAUUUUACUGAACAGAAAAUUAACAUGGUCAAGAGAAGGAAGAGUAGUUUUGAGAUCAUUGCUUGACAGAUUUUUAGUUACUUUUGACCGGGACAAGGCUUUUGCGAACACACGUGUAACUCGUCAAGUAAGGAUCUCCUUAAACCACUUCCCUUUUUUAUUAGAAGCAGGGGCAUUCGAGUGGGAGCCUUCCCCUUUUCGAUUUUGCAACAGCUGGUUGCUAGACAAGCAUUGCUGCCAAUUUAUUGAAAAUUCAUUAACCACAAGCACUCCUCCGGGCUGGAUGGGCUUUGCCUUAUCAACUCAACUCCAAAACAUUAAGGGUCAACUCAAAUCAUGGCAUUCAGAUUAUGAAAGAAAACAGAAAAGUCAUGAAGAAACCUUAUUAAAAGCCAUCGCACUAGAAGAGAAAAAAUAUGAUCAACCGGAUACGUGCACAGGGGAUCACUUAUUGUUAAUAAGAGAGUGGAUCUUCUAGCUCUUUGUAGAAGGGAGGAAAGAGAUAUAAUCCAGAAAACUAAGUUGACUUGGCUGAAAUUGGGGAACAAAAAUAUGAGUUUCUUCCAUCGUUCUCAUCGGGGGAAAAAAAAAAAAAAAAAGAAGUCUAAUUCCGAAGCUUGUUAAUAAUCAAGGAAACCCAACCACUUUAUUCUUUGAAAUUGAACAUUUAAUACUUGAUUUCUACAGCACCCUCUAUGAGAAAUCUCCUCACACCUCCGUUUUUUAUUGGUUUGUAGUUUCGCAGAUCAAAAUAAAAGGCUUAUUUCAAAAUUUAGUUUGGUGGAGAUCAGGGCAGCAUUAAAAUCAAUGGGAAGAAACAGAGGCUCCAGGUCCGGAUAGCUUCACAGUAGAAUUCUUCAUCAAAUUUUGGGAUCUCCUCAAGGACAAUCUUUGUAAAUUAUUCAAUGAGUUCUAUGGGACUGGGAAACUAAAUGCAUGUAAAGGAGAAAUUUAUUUGCUUGAUCAAGAAAAAGGAAGAUGCAGUAAAGGUAAUUAAUUUCCGGCCCAUAAGUUUCACUACUUUGCUGUACAAAUUGAUUGCAAAAGUGCUUGCUGAAAGAAUGAAGAUAAUUAUGCCCAGUAUUAGAGCUCUCACUCAAAGUGCCUUUUUGGAUGGCCGCCAAAUUCUGGAUCCUGUACUUAUUGCAAAUAAAGUUGUGGAGUAUUAUAGGUCCAAAAAAAGCAAGGAUGGAUUACAAACUGGACCUUGGAGAGGCAUUUGAUCGAGUUGAUUGGGGUUUCUUGGAAAGAAUUUUGAAGCAGAAAAAUUUCAAUCAUUGAUGGAUCAUCUCUUCGAUCAUGGAUUGUGUUGUUUUUUUUUUAAGAGACACAAGGCAAACUCUAUUAUAGAAAUAAUAUAAAAACUGAAAUAAUAUACCCCCAAACACCUCUGUUUCAAUUUAGGCAUUAACAGUUCUAAUUAUGCACUAUUUUAAGGCUGUUGAAGAAGAAAUAUGUAAGUUUCAAAUUAGAACUUGCUCAGGUACCAACAAGCUACAAAAUCUUUUGGCAUGUCACUUGUUUAAGUCAGAAAAGUAAAAAUCCUCCAUCUCAUGAACUCCCCCAAAUCAAAAGUCAAGUCUCCCAACAACAGUAGCUUACGCUUCAUAGCUCAUUGCAAGACAAACAACUGAAAUGAGUUUCUAAAACCCAUUCUCUUUUUCUAUUACUGCAUUCCACACCUGUCCGACCACGGUGCUGCCAUGAUUGAUCCAAAUUUUCCCAAGUAACUGAAUGCCUUUGCAUUGCAAUUACUCAUCCCCCCAUGUUGAUAUUCCGUCCAUUCCAAUUUCAACUAUUGGGGAUAUUUGUAACCUUCCAACUCGAUCUUGGCUUUUAGAUUCCUUUCUAUUAGCUGAAAAUGAUGCCAAGUUAGGCUUUAAAAUCAUCUCCUCUACUUCUUUCUCACCAACCUUUUGGAGAACAGCAUCCAUGUCUUCAAUAAGAUCAUCUCCGAAAAGCUGUUCAAAUGGCACUUCAGCGUCGUCAAUAACACCAAUCUGCCUUUCCCCUUCCUUCUUUGCUUUCUUCUUAUGGUUUUCAAUCUUGGUAAGUGUCUCCUUGUGUAUUGGCAAAGAUGGCUCCUUAUUGCUUUUUGUUCUUUUCUGCUUUGAAGUCUUCUUUUCCUUAUCAAUAUCAUUGGUACCGAGAUUUAUCUUAUUGUCAAGAGAUGGAAUUACUUUCUCCUCCCUGGUGACCUUAUCCAUCUUACGUUUUUUGCGUUCCAACUUCCUGUCCACAUCAGCACCAUUAGUAUGAUCAAGUUUGCCAUCAGUGCCUUGAACAGACGGGUGUGUUUCAACAUUCCCAUUCAGUUUUCUAUCCUUUUUCUCUUUUUGACGAUCUAGGCUCCUGAUUGGAGUGUCGUCUUCUUUAUCACUCCCAUUAUCAUUCUCAUUCUUAAUGCAUUUAUCAAUUGAUCUCGCAUUCAAUACACGCAAGCCUGGAACCAGUCGACAAAUCUUUUUAUCCAAUAGGAUUCCCUCGAACAUAAAUAUUCCUCAGAUAGCCUAAUGAACUCAAUACCUUUAAAUCUGACCAUCUCAUGAUGACAUUAUUUCCCAAAUCCAAAUUCAACAACUUCUUGUUAUGAGCCAAAGCAUUGGGGAGCAUCCUGAUUUCAUUGUGAGCAAGUCUAAGCUCUUUAAGUUCGAUACAAAACUUGAGGGAUUCAAUAGAUUGAUGUUUGCAGUUAGAAAGGGAUAGCUUUUUCAUUGAUUUCACUUUCAACAGAGAAUCUCCAAUACUGUGGAUUGGAUUUCUAGAAAGAACCAGAGUAUUCAGGUUCUUCAUCUGAUCAAGCUUGCAAAUAGAAGCAAUCUCAUUGUCAUUCAAAAUCAAAGCACAAAAGCCAACAAGGGGUCUAAUUUCGUCCAUUGACCGAAGCUUAUUCUUUCCCGCAUUUAAUACAUUAAGUCUAGAAAGCCCUUCAAUUCCUUUUAAGUUAUCAAGUUUGUUUUGUACAACUGAGAGCCACUUCAAAUUGGUGCAUGACUCCAACCCCUGAAGCGAUGUGAGAUUGUUGAAUGUCAAAUCAAGCUUCUCCAAGUUUUUGAAAAGGGACAAACCAUUUAUAUCAGAAAGAGCCUUUUGAUUGAGCUUGAGAGUAGUGAUGGUGAGUGGGUCUUUGGUUUUGUAAUCAUUGAGAACUUGCUGUAUAUCCAAGCAAGACAUAGUCGUGAAAACCCUAGUUUUCUCUGUUAGGAACAGACACUGCCUCCGAAAACGCCUUCAAACUCCGCUGUCUCUGCUGCUUGUGUGCUGGAUUGAUCAUGGAUUGUGUUAAAAACCCUAAGUAUUCAGAAUUCGUCAAUGGGAGGCCCAGAGGAAGAAUUCAAGCCUCAAGAGGGUUAAAGCAAGGGGAUCCCCUUUCCCUCUUUCUUUUCUUCUGGUUAGCGAAGUGCUUAGUAGUUUCAUCUCAAAUCUACACUUGAACGGUUUGUAUGAAGGUUUCAUGGUAGGAAAGAACAAUGUUCAUGUUCCCCUCCUUCAAUUUGCAGACAACACCUUAAUAUUUUCCAAGUUUGAUGAAGUUAUUCAUGAAAACGUUAAAAAGACGCUUGAAAUAUUUUAGUGUUAUGGGCAAAAGAUAAAUUGGGAAAAGUCAUCUAUAUGCGGAAUUAAUAUUGGGGAAAGUAAGAUCUCCUUAGCGGCAUCCAUGAGGAAUUGCUAAACAUUCCUCAUGCCAAAAAAAUCUCUAAUUCCAUUGAAAGAACCAUGGAGGAACUUCUUUUGAGAAGGGAACAACGGUAGCAAGUUGAACCACCUAGUGAAAUGGGAAUUAGUUUCCAAACCCCAAGGAGAUGGGGGCCUUGGGCUGGACAAGCUGAAAUUUAGAAACAUUACUCUUCUUGCCAAGUGGAGGUGGAGGUUCAUGGCAGAACAAAACUCUCUAUGGUAUAAGGUGGUUUGUAGUAUUCACGGGAGUAGCCUCUUCCAGUGGCACACAAGUGGCAAAGAAAAUUCAAGUUUAAGAAGCCCUUGGAUAAAUAUUUCUAGAUAGUGUGGCAGCUUUUAAAGUUGGAAAGGGUGACAAAAUUUUGUUUUGGUUGGAUCCAUGAAUGGAUAGAAUUGCUUUGAAGACCACACUCCCAAGCUGUACAGAAUUGCCCUUAAACCAAAAGGCUCGGUUGUAGAACAUUGGAACGCCUCCACUUCCUCUGGGUUUCUUGAUUUCAGAAGAUUGUUAGGAGCUUGAAAUCUCUAAUUUUCAACUUCUCCUGGGCUCCUUGGAAAGGACAAGAUUAUCCAAUAUUGAGAAUAAAAGAAUCUGGUUAAUGGAAACUAAUGGGGUUUUUUCAGUAAAGUCAUUAUCGAAGCACUUGUCUCUUGCCACUCCGAUGGACCUACAGUUGGAAAAAAGCCUUCAGAAAUCUAAAAGCCCGAGGGUAAGUAUAACUCUAUCGAUUAUGUUGUUCAGGAGUUCAAUUUGUGCAUCCAUUAUGCAAAAGAAGUUACCCACUCAUUAUAUUUCGCCACAUAUAUGCCCAUUCUAUCUCAAAUUUCAUGCGGAACUCCAGCACUUGUUUGAAUGUGUAUAUGCUGCCAAGUGUAGGAGUAAACUCUUUCACACCUUUAAUCUCAGCUGAGACCUUGAUAAAGAAUGCAAGAAUAAUGUUAGACAGUUACUUCUUGGUCCGGUUAUGAUGAAAAAAUGCCUCCUUGCUUUGGUGCAAUACCGUCAAGGAAAUUUUGUUGGAACUGUGGUUUGAGAGAAAUCUGCGAGUCUUCCACAAUAAAGCCUCCUCUUGGUUCAAUAGAUACGAGUGCGCACGUCUGAGUGCCUCUUUGUGAUGCUCUCUACGAAAACAAUUUAAAGACUUCUCUAUGCAAUAUAUCUUACUAAACUGGCAGGCCUUUUAACUUUCCUCCUUGUUGAUGAUUCAGAUUUGGCUCACAGCCUCUGGUGUUUCCAACCGUUUCAGAAUCUUUCUUUGUCUGGCUGUAUUUUUAAUUCCUAGUCUGGUUAGAAGUUGUUUCUUAUGUCCUUUUUGAGUUGUAUUGGUUGUGGUUAGUCCUGCACUUGGACGUUAUUAGUUGUUCUAUCUUUUUAUUAUGUAGGAUAUGAUAAGGAUACUAAGAGGGUGUCAACUUAGCUGGGAUGCUCAAAUGCACAUCCUUAUCCUUGGUUUGAAUGCUCAUCGUAUAAUCCUCUUAUACUAUAAGAUUUAGUUUCAUUGUUCAUUUAUUAAUAAAUGAGGUUGUUUCCUUUUCAAAAAAAAUCUAAAGGAUCAACUUGUUUUUCAAUCUAAAAAAGAAAAAUCAAAGCUCACACAAGUGAAUCCAAUUAAAGAAGGAAACUCCAGUCAAAUAAAUUACAACCUAGAGGACAGAUGAAGAAGAAACUCCUCAAUCAUCUCCGUGAUCUCUGUGUCUAAUGUUUUUCAAUGCUCAAGGCAUAAUAAAGCACAAUAGUCUUUUAGGGCUUAAGUGCAAGGCGUUAAAAAAAUGUGGGUUUUUUUUUAAGGUGCAGUCUCUCUAUAUAUAAUACAAGAUAAUAUAAAAAUACAAGAUAAAAAAGAGGAUAGUUGAAUUGGGAAUAUAAAAGAAAAAAAAUAAAAGUAACCAUAGGAAAAAAAAAUAUUCCAUUUAGGCCAAGCAAAUUUUAUUAUUUAUAAUUAAUAUGGAAGGAAAAAACCCUAAUAAUUACUUUUUUAAAAUAAUGAAAAAAAAAACCCAAUGCCUAGGACUUUGGGCCGUAGGGCUUCACUGAAAGCACCACAUCUGAUGCACUUGUGUGCAAGGCGAGGCACUAUGCAUGCGCCUAGGAGGCUUUCUAAAACACAGCAUGUGUCUAGCAAAAGGAAAGUCAAACACCUCAUAGAAACAACUCCAAACUAACCAAACAAAGUCAUGAUUCAAAAAGAUAUGAUUGAAGUCUUUUUUCUGCCCACCAAUACAGAAUGUGAAAAAGCAGCCCUACAAAAAGGAUCAUCUUUCUAAAAACCAAUCUAAUCUGUAAAAGUCUUCCUCUUUUCAGCCUCCUCAUAGUGUUCUUCCUCCUAUGAUCUCGAGUUUGUCUUGGUGCAAGUUUUUGGUCGCCUUUUAUUUAGAAGGAUGUUUAGUCUUGUAUUUGUAUUUGUAUUUCCCUGUACUUCUUUUGUGUUUGUUUUGCCUUUAGCCAUUACUCCUUUGUUACGGGUUUUAGCUUGGUUGGAUAUGAUGAGGGUGUUAAGGGGGUGUCAACCUAGUUGAGAUGUCCAGGUGCACCCCCGAUCCAUGCUUACAUGCUCAUUGUAUAAUUCUUUUGUAUUAUGAGCUUUUGUCUCAUUAUUAUUAUAUUAAUAUUAAUAAAGAGGCUGUCUCCUUUUUAAAAGAAAUAUCUGUAGAAGUCUUCCAUGAUUGACUUACCACAAACAGAAGUGCUAAGUCUUCUAGAAAAAUUUUACAAAAUCUCUAAAAGAGGGAACUACAUUCUUAAAAUUUUCACAAAAGCUCCAAAAGAGGGAACUACAAGAAAUACUUUUAGAAGGAUUCAAGCUCCAAAAGAAAAACAAUCCUUCUCCUUCGUAUUAAUAUCAAAUGUCUUGUUCGAGGAUACAAGAGCCACUAUGUCAGUUGCUUCUCUAUCAAACAACAAAUGACAGAAUCCCAACAAUAUCCUAGAGCUACUAAAACGAGAAAAGGCAUCUGCCACCAAAUGAUUCAGCAUAAGGAAAAAGAUGUAAACAGGAAAAUAGAGAGCAGGGGCCGAAUGUCUAAGAUGAAAGCACAAAAUAGUUCAAAACUUCGAAAACACAAAAUAUUAGUCAGUAUAAGACCAUGCUUUGUCAAAAAUUUCGUCAAAGCAGCUGAGCAAAUAAAAGCCUAAGAAACUUCUUUAGAACAGUGCAAUAAGAAAUUGUAAGCACCUUCCACUUAAAUAUGUGGUUAAGAACUUCAGGCUCACAAACAGCUUCUGCAUCCUCAAUGCAACAUCCUUCCUCAAGCUUGCGCAGAGCAGCUCGAACAACCUAACAACCAAAACAGUAGACCAUUAAGGGAUAAGAAACCACAAGAUCACUUUAAGGAUACAAAAGUUAAUAAUUUUCUUACCACAACUGACCCUUCCAACUUCCCCAUCUUAAUUGUCUUGUCCACUACAUGUUUUAAAGAAUAUGCAUGAGUAGAUGGGACUUUGUGCUUCUUAAUUACGUCUUCCAAAGUAAUUGACGAUGCAACAAUUUUCAUCAUGUCCAUUAACCUAGGUUAAAAGAAAGAAUAUUUUAGAAACAAAUCCACUUUACCAAACAUGCAAGCGUGCACUUUAGGGAAGUUUAUAACUGUUGUCAUUCCUUAAUUCGUUUUUUAAGGGUGAGGGCAUCAAAACCAAAUGUGAAGUACAAAUGGCAGUUACCUCCUCUCCGAAUUGGCAUCUAAUAGGAGCAUCCCACUUCUAUCCUCCUUGUAAAUCUUACUUGGAUCAAAUCUCUUGGUUGGUAUGGCAGACUUGCCAACUAAGGAGGAUUUUUUCACUUUGAUCGUCUUAUCAAUGUCCAUGAGGACAGAUUCUCCUUUUUGAUUCAAAGAGUUUCUUGAAAUGUUACCCAAUUUCACAUUUUUAGACUCAGAACUCCACAAUGAUUUCGCAGUCACUUUACCAAGAAGCUUCCCAUCAGAUGAGGACCUCUCAAAUGAUUUGGAUACUUUUGCAGCAGAUUUUCCCUGAAGGUCAUCUGGCAUAGAUCCCUUCUUUGAUACAACAUUCUCCCUACUCCCACGAAAAACUAUCGUCUUCCCUCGUCUUGUAUCACUGAUAGGAAGUUUCCUUUUCUGAAUGGGAAGCCUACUCUCUUCAAGACCAGGAAAUUUUAUAUGGUCUCUAGCAGGAGUCUCAAUUUCUUCAUCAAUCUCAUGGUCCCUGGUCAAAUUAAAUGAAAAAAAAACAUUAAUAGGCCAAUACUGAUUAAAGGAAAUAGUAGUAACAGCUGACACAGCAAUCUUACAAGCAAUAUAUCAAAAUGCGAUUAGGUAAUAGCUUUUCCCAUGCCCUGGUCGGGGUUUCACCAUCCUCAGAACCUUCAAAAGUGAUUUUCCUAACAAAAACAAUGCAUUCUUUAACCAAUUAAGCACCAGAACUUAAAAAAUUACACUCUGAUUCACUAUAUAGAAAUUCAAAGGAUACCUUGGUAAGCAUUUCCUGUGGUAUGAUUUUGGACACCGUCGACAAACAGCAAACUGUAGUUCCCAUAUUUUCUUAUUUUCGCCGAGCGCACAAACAGAGCACUUAUGCACAGGGCAUGAGAAAGAUUCUCCAGAUGCAAUCUUCUUCUCAAGGUCUCCAGCGGCAACUUUAUUCUCCGGAUGAAGCAAUCUUGAAAUACAUUUAGGAUGAUAAAAAUAACCACAAGUUGCAUUUACGCAUUGGAAGACCUAAAGAGCAAUAGUAACUCAUAUUAGGUAAUAAUCAGAGACUGAUGUCUAAAAUCAUAAGUAAAUCUCUUUUUCUAACAAGAAAAGCAUAUGUAUAUUCAACAAAAAAAGCCAAGAAGGACCAUCUAAGAGGAAAGGGUUGAGGAAACCCCCACCCACAAAACUAAUAAAGAAGAGCCUAGCAAUUAUUAAUACUCAUUAAAAGAUCUAAUUACAAAGGGAGAUAUGAGCUAUUGGCAAAAUUAACAAUGUGUUAGAAAGUUGCUAACAAGAACAAGAUAUUAAUUUAUUAUAAUGAACUAUAAGAAAAUACAAGAUAAACCCAAGUAUAAGGCACUUGGAACCUCCCUCUUGAGUACUCUCACCCAAGCCCUAAAUCACUCCACAUAAUAACCUCUCUCUCUCACUUACCCUCCCUCCAUUUAUAACAAGAUGUAACCACCCUAGUAACCACACAUAAUAGCUACUAGUAACCACACUUACACAAUAACUACUAGUAACUUCCUAAGUAUCUAAUUACCCUUAUACCCCUAACCCUAUACUAAUCUAAUUACCCUUAUACAAUAUAAACCCAUGUAUACAAAUGUAGGUAUCAAACACAAUGCUAAUAAAUAAAUUACAUUAAAACUACAAAGAUUCCAAACCUACAAACAAGAAACUAGCAAAAAAAGUCAAACAACUCAAACCCAAUCAAAGGGUCGACAAAAUUAUGAACCAAAAGAUUGUGAAAAAACUCUAGUGUAAAUGUAAAGAUGGAAAGGUAUUAGGGUUCACCUAAGUUCAUUAUGAUUAUAAUAAACAAAAACAAAUUAAUAAAACAAAAAAAAAAGGAGCCAAUGUCUAUAUUGCGCAGGAUUCAUAUAGUAAAUAUUCAUACAAUACGUGAAGGAUAGCCAUUUUAGUAGUGAAGUGUAUGGUCAAUCGAUUUUAUACCUACAAUGAGUUAUUUUUAGAGGAGUUUCAUUGAAUCUUUAACAACUUUCCAAAUAUAAGCAGAGUACAAAUAAACUUGACUUUGUAUUACUCUCUUUGUAUAACUCUCUUGUACUUUGAGUGCAUAUUAAUAAAAAAGAUUUGUCUCCGUUUCAAAAUAAAUAAAUAAACUUGACUUUGAGGGUGAGUAUUUUUUGUUUAUAUGAUGAUAAAACCAAUUUCAAUGAGGAAAAAAAAAAGAGAGAAUAGGAGGCUAACCAAAAGCCAGCCCACUAAAAGGAAGGGAACCCUCUAGAAAAAGGGACCCAACUAUGCAAAAUAACACCUAUAGAAUAAUUACAAAAUUCCUUCGAAUUCAAGGCCCACAAAGAAACAUGAUAACGUACAAGGGACCAAAUCUCACUGGGGACCCUCUCCCCACCCCUAAAAACCCCAUUGUUCUGCUCACCCCACACCACCCAUAAAAUAGAACACACCCCCAUGACCCAAAGGAAGUGCCCUUCUCACUGGUCAGGGUUGAGAAGGAACUCCUCAAGCAACGCACACACAUCUCUAUGUCAAGUCCCCCUAACGCCAAAUGUCUAAAACAAAGAGUUCCAAACCAAGCUGGAAAACUCACAAUGCCCAGAAUGUGGUCCAGAUCUCCCUCCCUUUUCUACAAAGAAUGCAACAAGAAAGGACCUACAAGCGAGAGCAUCUUCCUCUUAAGCCUAUCCAUCCUGUUUUUUUUCUUUUUACGGUCGUGUAAAACUUGCCAACUAAAGAACUUAACUUUCCUAGGAAUCUCAAUCCUCCACAGCACAAGAAAACAGAUAGACCUAGGGGAGAACCACUUCACCCACGUCUAAACGAGUGGCCCUCAAGUACCUCUAUUGUUUCCCUAUAGGAAAAAGCACAACAGAACCCAAAAGAGAGGGAAUACGAGCUCCUAGACCACACGAGAAUAUCAGCAACAAAACAGUGUUUGUGAUCAAGAAAAUGAUACGAAAGAGGGAAUAAGAAACAGAGAGGUCUCUCCCCCAUCCAAUGGUCUUCCCAAAAGUAAGUAUCUCUCCCCCAUCCAAUGGUCUUCCCAAAAGGAAGUAUCUCUCCCCUUCCCCACCACACAAUGAAUGAAUUGAACAAAAGCAAGGAGAUCUUUCUAGAAAAUCUACGAGAAUUUUUCGAACAAAAGAUAAUUCAGUAUUUGUCCAUACAUGAGGGGAAGACUUCCACUUAUAGAGUUUUAAUACAAGUGGUGGUAAAAAAUGGAAUUAACCUAAGACUAUGACCCAGCUAACCACAUUCUUCUUACAUCACCACUUUCCCCUUCUCCCUCCUGAUUCAAUUGAUGCAAUCAAGCUCUCUUUCAACCCUAACAUCAUUUCCAAUUAAAUCAACUCAGUUGACAUCAAUUUCAUGAGGAUCGAGCUCGUGCCAUUUCUUCGAACUCAAAGAAAAGCCUCAUGGGUUGGCAAACCACCAUCUGAAGUGAUUCUUUAGACUCUAUCACUUUUGAGUUGGUAGCAAAAACAUAUUCAGGGGACUUGAUGUAGAGUGUAGAAUAAUGGGGGCCAAGGCUUCUGCUGAUUAUUCAAGUCAAGAUAUUAGUUUAAACUGGAGUGCUCUCAUCUCCAUGUAAUUGUUGAUGGCAACCGUGGAUAAGAUGGCUCUCUUCCUCUACUACACUUCAUAGUCUUGUUUUGCUAUUUUUGAAUAUUCUUGGCGAUGGAACAAAGAUCAAGAACUUUUCUAUUGAUGUAGUGAGAAGAAACAACAAAUGUUCAAAUGAAACAGAAAAUCUGGAAGUUGAUAAAAGGUAAGUUCUCUUUGUUAUCCCUCCUCCCCCCUCCCUCCUGCUCCCUUUUCGGUUCUCUCUUUUUCCAGUAGCCUCACAACGACUACUUUUCAGUCUAACAACGUUAGCCUCCUGGUGAAUUCUACCCACAGACCAAUCACUAAAGGUCUGGUGGUUGAGUUUCGUUUUAAUUGCACAGGGAAGCUUAGAAGUGAGACUGCAAUGGAAGUGGUAAGUUACGAAGUUCUUCAAUCGUAUUAUCGCAUUUGGUCAGAAGACGAUAGCUUCCUUGUCAAAGAUGUGAGCUGGUGCCUGAAAGCAUUAUCAGUGUUAUUAAGAGGCCCAGCAGAUUGUUUCUUCCAGAAAUGGGGGAGUUAAACCAAGGAAGGUUGAAGUUGUCAAAGUUCAAGGCAAAAAAGGGUUGGGUGUUAUGUUGUGUGACCUAUGGCCAUUUUCAGGUGGACACUCCUUCAUUCGAGUGUGUUAGGGAGAAGACAAACAGCGGUGGGUGGCAUUUCACAAAAUGCUGGAGAAUUUCCUUUUCAAAACCAGAGUAUAUAAGUUGGUAUUCACAUAAAAUUGCCACAUCUUUUAAUCCAGCCCAGGCUAAGAGUACAAGCUUCACAGAUAAAGUUAAAUCGGAUGGUAACUUAACCCAUGAUGAAAAGAAAAAAAAGAGAGUGCCAUUAAAGUUGAUUAUCAGGCUGUGACCAAAGAUGAAGGAGAAAGCUCUCAAGUUUCCUCUAUUUUGAAGAGAGCAAAACAGAGUCAGGGGGUGACAAAUAACUCGGAAGUUAUUCAAACAAAGUUUGAAAAUGAUGUAAGAAGACUAAGAGUUAAUUGGGUAAUUAGGUAAUAUUCUAGAUUAAUUCCCUUUUUAGCCCCAUUUGUAAUAGAAGUCUUCUCCUCUUGUAUGAAGCACAUUAUUCAUUCUAAUAAAAGAUUCUCAAUCUUGGUUCUUGGAGGAUUUCUCCUUGAGAUUACUUAGGCUACAUCAGAAUAGUUGUGGAUAGUUACAAUACUCUUUGCGUUGAUUAUUGGAGAGAAAUUCGAAAACUGCUGGAAAUCUUUUUCCAAACAAGAAUUAUCAUCAACCCACUAUUGGAUGAAAAUGCUCUUAUUAGUUUGGAUCAAGGCCUGGUUGAAGAUUUCAUCAAUGAACCUGAGAGAUGGCAGGAGAUGGGGCCAUUUCACCUAAAGUUCGAAAAAUGGGAUAGAUUAAAAAACAGCCAGCCGUUGGUAAUGAAAGGCUGCAGCAGAUGGUUAAGAAUUGGAAACCUUCCUCUGGACUACUAGUGUAGAAAAACCUUCGAAGCCACCAGAGAGAAUUUUGAGGGUUUAGAAAGCAUUGCCACAGAAACGCUUAAUCUAACCAAUUGCAACGAAGCAAGAAUUCAAGUUAAACCGAAUUUAUGUGGUAUUAUACCUACUACCACUGAAAUUACAGACUUUAAUAGAAGUAAUUUUUUCUUGAAUUUUGAUGAUAUUGAGCCUAUGGAUCCCCCAUGUAUUUUCAAGGGAAGUCUUAUUGUUAAGGAUUUUCAAAAACCCUAUUGAUUAACUAAGGGUUAGGCAAGCUUUGGAAGAUGAAGAUGUUAAUGUUUUGUUCUUCCCUCAAGAACUUGAUGUGUUUAAAUCCACUAAAACAGCUCCCUCCUUUUCAAGAAAUCCAUUAGAAGCUUUGAAUCAAAUUCAUCACCCUCACCGGCGCCGGAGGCCGACAAUCUGAUUGGAAAUGAAAUAUGUCCGUUAGAAAUUAAUAGGCUGUAUCCAAGGAAGAGAGAGAAUUCAGCAGAAGAUAUCUAUGCAUUUAAUUCAUUGGGCUUUGGUCUAACCUCAAAUGGUGGAAAGCUCAAAUGGGGCUACUUUCCAGCCUAGUAUGAACACGAAAAAAGCUUUAACAAGGAAAGAGAAUGUGAAUGGAAAUGAUUCUCUGCAAAGUAAUUGUUCUGCUUCCAUCCGUAAGGGCACGAAAAAGAAAUUUAAAAGAGAGCCUGUUGUAGUUCCUCCGUUAUUCCUCCCAAAAGACAGCUCAGCAGCAUUAACUAAUCACUCAAGAACCCUUCCACCUUCCAGCCGUGUUCUCAUAUCUUCCUCUGCCUUGGAAUCCAACUCUUCCUUGCCUUUUUCCAACCAAUCAAACAGUACAGUGAAUAUAGCAUUCCAAUUGUCCAAGGAUAACUCGAAUAAUGAUCUUCUUCAGUCUCCAUCUCACAAUACGAGUGAGUUCGAAAUACCUCAGAAAUUUCCGGCUAACAUUUGCUUGCAUCAACGAAUGAAGAGAAACAAGAAGUGCAAGAUUCCUAAAAUGUCUCAAGGAAGUUCUUAUUUGGUUAAGCCUUUCCGAAAACACUUGACCAAGAAAAGGACUUCUUUUAGCAAUUCUUGGACAAAAAUCACAAACCCUGACUUGCUUGAGGCUGUUGUGUCAAGAUCCAAGUCCCUGGCCUAAAUCAAAACAGGUCAGCUUCUUUACCUUUUUUGAAUAAACCUGGUUCCCAUUUCGGAUGUAAUUCCCAAGAGUCUUUCAAUCCUCCUUCUGUGCGAGGAUUACAUAGCAAUUUUCAGACUUCUCAUAAAGGUACGAAAGACUUUGAUGAAGAGUCAUUGGCAAGUGUAAGCAGUGAAGAACAGGAAAGAGGACAAUGAGGAGAUAGAAAUUACAAUAAAAUGCCAGUUGAUAUGAACAAGGCUUUAAGUAUUUUAUUCCAAUCUGAAGAGGUUCAAUUACUUUCCAUUAAGAAAAGCUUUCCUUUACUCCACUGUAAAAGAAAAAUACAUACCUAAAAAUUGCAUUCCAUAGUGGAUACCUGUGAAAUCUCUUUAGCCUAAUCCAAAGGAAAACAGGUCAUUCGGUGGAUAUCCUCAGGGUUGAAAAUUGAAGAUUAGCUAUUGAAUUGCAUGAUGAUUUGGACAAAAACAUGGUGGCUGAUUCUUAGAAGUUUUCAAAAGAAAUUAGUCCAGACAUACUACUAAUUCAAGAUUCUAGAAUGGACAGCUUCGUUAAAGAAGUCAUAGAAAGCAUAUAGAGCUCAAAAGAUGUCGGCCAGAUUUUAGUUGGAAGCUUUAAAGAUUUUCAGGGACUUUCUUACAAGGUGGGUUGAAGGUUUUUUCAGAAAACUGACAUUGCUAAAGCUGACUUCUCUUUGAUAACUGGAGUAAUGAGUUGAAGGCAGUGCUGGCAAGUUUAUGUGGAUUGGAAGAAGACUACUUCCAGAUCCUCUGGACUUUGGAUUGUGUUGGCAAGUUAGCUUUGAGGCAGCUGUUUGCAUCUUCUUGGCUUUCAUUUUCUCCUAUCAUCUUGAAGAUUUGGAUGUGCAGUACUUUUUAUACGAGUGGAGUGGGCUAAUUUUGAGAGAGUGUUUAAGUAUUGCUUUUUACUUAGCUUUCUACUGAUGUACUGUAUUGUGUGGCUUUGAUUAGCUCGUUUAUUUUCUGAUUCGGACUCGUAUUUAAGUUUCCAUCAUAUUUAUGUUGCCCGAUUAUAGUCUUUGUUUAUGUUUUAGCUUGUUUUUUCCCUUAGUUCUUUUGGUUUUGGUAUAAUACUCUUGUACUUUGAGCUUUAGUCUCAUUAUCCUUCAUAAAGAGGCUUAUUUUCGUUUCAAAAAAAAAAAAUCUUGGCAAUGAUUGUAAUUUUUAAGUUAUUAAGUUAUUUGCAAGUUUCUUUUCAAGGUGUUGAUGGUACUAAUGGGGUGUCAACCUAGUUGAGAUGCCCGGGUGCACCUCCUGAUCCACAGCUUUAUGCUUGUUGUUUCCAUUGUACUUUGAGCAUAGUCUCAUAUCAUUAUUUUAAUGAAAAAGCUUGUUUCUUGUCAAAAAAGGGUGCUGGUGCUGGUGCUGGUGGUUUCAAAGGGUACAUAAUGGUGUACAAGUUCGAUGCCCUCUCACUGAUGAAGGCAAGGCGAGGGCUUUUUUUCUCAAAGAAGAAAGGAGUGGGGAGUGGGGUGUGGGUUUUUUUUGCUUAUGAAGCAUGAAUACUCCAUGUGAAGCAAAAAAUCGUAUCAAAUACGUAUCAAAUAUCAAUACUCCUAAAUACUUCCCAUAUACAUAUCGGAUAAGUGAUUUGACAUAUUUGCUUUUAAUAAAAAACAAAUAUCAAAUGCACUUCUGAAGUGGACACGUUGGACCUUCUAAAAAGAAGGCAUCUAAUCUUUCCCAAUCCAAACUAGGUAGCAUAUUUAAAAAGCCCAUUGCCCCCACCCAAAACUAAAAGGAAAAAUAUUUAAAAAGACCAAACUAGAAUCAUCUAAUCUUCAUCCAUCCCGCCUAAGUCACACAAAAUAACCCACUUAAAUAUCUUUAACAAUUCAAUGAAGAAGUUUUUCAUUUAUCCUCGUACUUCUCUCUCUAAUCUUCUUCUCCUCUGUCAUUCUAACUCUGGUGCGCCAACCUUUUCUAUUCUAUUCCAUUGCAAUUGUAUUUCAAUAUUUUUUAAGAGAAAUUGUAUUUCAAUACCUUUGAUAGUACUUCUGGUAAAGUAUUUUGUAGUAUUGUCAUCAACUAGACCAGUGUUUUAAAAAGCGCACUAAGCCGCGCGCCUAGGUGCGCCUAGGCUCAAGGCGCCCACUUGGAGCUUAUUUGUGAGGAAGUGCGGAGAAUUCUAAAAAGCCCAGAUUAGGCGCGCGCCUCAAAGGCGCAAGUCGAAUUAGGAGUGGGCUAUUUUUAUAACUUAUGGGCUGGGCUUUAAUUAUAAAAAACUAUUAUUAUCUAAAUUUUUUAAACCUAUUACGUGAAAGUGAAGAAACAACCCUUCACCCUUCUCCUCCCGCGCAUGAAUUUUCUUCAACACGACUCUUCAUCUACUUUUUCGGUUCUUCCGUUCUGCUUCUACUUCAAAACUUUUUGCUUCCUUUUCCACCCUUCUUCUUCACACAAAACGUCAACAAAUCUAUUUGGUGCUGCGGCUGCCAUUACUCUGUUUUUUGGUGCAAAAACAGAGGAAAAGAGAAGACAAUAAUAUUCUGCUUCAGUUUUCACCUCCUCCAUUUCAGCUUUAUCGCGGGUGAGUAUCUCAAUCGUACGUUGUAAACUUUUUGCCUCCUCUUGGAUUAGAUUUAAAUUCACAUCAAGUGAAUCUCUUUGUUCAGUUAACAUCUGCAUUGCUUUCUCCUUCUUCUGUAACUCUUUGACAAGAACAUCAAACUCCAUCAGCAUCCCACUUUCUUUCACCACAGCUUAUUCAAUUCUCAUUUGAAGCUCAGAAAUUCUCUUCCCGUUCUCUUCCUUUUCCUGUUUGAAACAGAAUGUACUCUGUUUUAAUUGAGCAACUUCCUUCUCUAACUUCUCAAAUCUCAACCUCCAUUUCCAGCCCAUUUUUUUCCUUUUCAAUCUCACCUUUCUCCUUCAUUUUCACAUCCACUUUCCUCUCUAAAUCUUCAAUUACCCUGCCUGAUUCCUCCAACAACUUCUUAAUCAAUUCAUUGUCUUUCGUCAGAUUCACAUUCAAAAUCUCACAUUCCUUUUUUUCACUCAACAACUUCUUCCAUUUCGUACAUGCUUUUCAAAGGAUUAUUAGUUUUUAUCCUUUUACUUUCAUUUAACAUAUUGAUUGCUCAGAAUGGUGAAAAGAACAAAUAUGGAUGAACGAACUUGAAAUGUUUUCUAUCUAUUGCAUCUUUUGGCUCUAUUGUCAUUUCCUCUAAUUUGGUUGCUAAGAGAAUGGAAGGUGGAUCCUCUCUUUCAUUUUCGAGAACUAAGUUUCCACCUACAAUUCCAAUGAAACUCGAGAGGAAUGAGAUGAAAUAUAGCAGAGGAUUGAGAUAACUACAAUCAAGUUUUGACCAAAAGUCUAUAUUUCAUGCUAAGCAUAGUGGGCUAUUUUUUUAGAUGUCGAAUUCUGAGUAUCUCUCCUUUGUUGAUUUGACAUCUUGCAUUAAAUUUCAUACUCUACUGUGACACUUUGUUGUGUCACAGAUUCAUUUGGUUCUAGUAUGUUUUGGUCUAAGUUAGCUAUCAAUUUGCUGAUUUGACGGCUACGAACUACAUAUGUCGUUUUGUGUUUUCAUAGCGUGGUAUACCCAUUGAGUGACUAUUGGUUUUGUCUCUUGACUUAUUUAUUGUGUGCAAGUUUUGGACAUCUUCUUCUUCUUAUACUUCUCGACCACAACUUCCUUCAAUAACCCAUCAAACUCAACCUUCAUCCCAUCCCUCUCACAACACACUCCCCUCCAAUCCUCCAUUUAUAACAGCUUCAUCCCAUCCAUAGAUAGCUUCUGUUUUUUUAUCUUUUUAUAACAGCUUCUGUUUUAAAUAGCUUCUGUUUUUUUUUUUUUUUUAUAACUUAGAUCAUAGAUGGCUGAUAAAAGUUCAAGAAAAAAUCCGGCAUGGAAAUAUGGUCAAUUGCAAAAUGACCAAGAUAAAAAUACGUUUGUCUGUGGAUUUUGUUCGAAAGUAACAAAAGGAGGGGUAUAUAGAAUGAAACAACACCUCGCUGGUGGUUACAGAAAUGUCACCGCCUGUACAAAAUGUUCGGAUCACGUGAAGGAAGAAAUUAAAGAGUACAUGUCCAAAAAAAAAGAGAUUAAAGAACAAAGAAAUCUGAUUGUGGACAUUGAUGUAGAAGAUUACGGUAUCGAGGAUGAAGAUGAAGGGAGUGUUAGUGUAAACAACAUAACAACACCAAGGGGCCCGAGCUUGAAGAAGCCAAGGCAAAAGGGUCCAAUGGAUGCAUUUUUUACUCCUAACCCAGAAACUGUGGUUCAAAAUAGAAAGGACAAAGGAAAACAAACUUCAUUGAAUGGGGCAUACAAGAAGGAAAUGAGAGAGCACACCAUCCAAAGAAUUGCUCGAUGGUUUUAUGAUGCAGGAGUGCCUCUGAAUGCCUGCACAUAUGAUAGUUUUGCCCCUAUGAUUGAGUCAAUUGGGCAAUUCGGUCCUAGAUUGAAACCACCAUCUUAUCAUGAGUUAAGAGUUCCAUGUUUGAAAAAGGAAUUAGAAGCAACAAAUGAGUUGAUGAGUAACCAUAUGGCAGAGUGGGCCAAGGUUGGAUGCACUGUUAUGGCUGAUGGAUGGACCGAUAGAAGAAAUAGGACAUUAAUUAACUUUUUAGUUAACAGUCCUAAAGGCACCAUGUUUAUUGAGUCCAUCGAUGCUUCAUCUUAUGUGAAAGAUGGAAAGAAGAUGUUCGAGUUAUUUGAUAAUUUUGUAGACCGAAUUGGAGAAGCGAAUGUUGGACAAGUAGUUACCGAUAGUGCCUCAGCAAAUGUGAUGGCAGGUAAGAAUGUAGACUACUUACAAGUUAUAACUUUAAUUUGUUAGAUUUAGUUGAGUUCUACGUUAAAUGUGUACUUAUUUUCUUUGUUAAUAGGGAGAUUGUUAGAAGCAAAGCGACCACAGUUAAUAUGGUCUCCGUGUACCGCUCAUUGCUUAGAUUUGAUGUUGGAGGAUGUAUACAAGAUCUCGAAUAUUCGAAAAGCAUUGAAAAGAGGCAUGGAGAUUAGCAAUUUCAUAUAUGUUCAUCCUGGAUUGUUAAACAUGAUGCGAUGUUUUACUAACCAAAAGGAGUUAGUUAGACUAGCUAAGACUCGUUUUGCUACUGCCUGCAUUACAUUAUCGAGUAUACAUCGUCAAAAGAAUAAUCUGAGGAAGAUGUUUACUUCAGAUGAAUGGAAGAAUAGCAAAUGGAGUAAGGAGCAACAAGCGAAACGAGUAGUUCAGACUAUUUUGUUGGCUAGUUUUUGGACUACAAUUGUUUUCACUCUUAAAGUAUCUGGCCCACUAGUCCGAGUUCUUAGAUUGGUUGAUGGCGAGAAGAAGCCACCUAGGAUAUAUUUAUGAGGCCAUGGAUAGAGCUAAGGAAGCUAUUGCUAAAUCCUUUAAUAAUAAUGAAGAAAAAUACAAGGACAUUUUCACCAUAAUUGAUAAAAGAUGGGAGCUUCAGUUGCAUCGUCCCCUGCAUGCAGCGGGGUAUUAUUUAAACCUGUCAUUCUAUUAUCUGAAUCCUAAUAUCCAGAAGGAUGAUGAAAUAGUUAAUGGACUCUACUCAUGCAUAACAAAAAUGGUUGCUUCAUUGGAAGUACAAGACAAAAUACUUGCAGAACUAAGCAAGUAUAAGAGAGCUGAAGCAUUAUUCGGACAACCUUUAGCAAUCAGACAAAGGGACAAAAUAUCUCCAGGUAAAUUUCAACUAAACGAUUACUCAACGAUACUAGCAACAAGUUCUUCUAUUAAUAUAUAUUUUUUUGUUUGUGCCUAUAGUGGAAUGGUGGGAUAAUUUUGGACAAUCAACUCCAAGCUUGCAAAAGUUUGAUGUGAGAAUUUUAGGUCUUACUUGUAGCGCUUCUGGAUGCGAGCGUAAUUGGAGUGUGUUUGAACAAGUUACCUUUUCUCUCCUUAAGUACAUUGAGAAUGAGAAUCAAAAUUUGUUGAUUCACUGAUAAUGAAACUUUCUAAUUUUUCAGCUUCAUAGCAAGAAACGAAAUAGGCUUGCUCAAAGUCGUUUGAAUGAUCUAGUGUUCAUCAAAUACAACACAGCAUUAAAACGUCGAUACAACCUACAAGAUAUUGUCGAUCCCAUCUCCUUAAAAGAUAUUGAUGAUAGUAACGAAUGGUUGAUUGGAAGAUUGGAUGACGAUUCUGAGGAGGAUGAUGAGUUGGUAUUUGACGAUGAUUCUUUAACGUGGGGUGAUGUUUCUAGAGCUGUCGGAGCAAAAGAACCAUCAUUCUAUUCUAGAGCUAGUACCUCUAGAGCAAAGACUAAUGUUUCAUGUUCAUCCUCGUCUACCACGCAACGCAAACAAGUAAAUUUAGAUGACUUCGAUUUGGAAGAAGAAGAUACUGAUGGCAAUAAGUCUAACGAAGGAGUGAAUGAAGACGAGGAUCAAUUUAGUGAUGAUGAGUUUGAUCUUUAGGGAUGAACUUUUAUUUUGAUUGUUGACUUGUUGUUGAAUACUGGGUAGUUUUCUGUUGUGUUUUGUUGUUUAGGCUACUUAUAUUGGGUACUUAUAUUUUAUACAUUGUUGCUCUGCUACGAGUGUGUAUAUAUAUAUUUUCUUUUCUUUUUAUAUAUAGUGCGUCUUAUCAAAAAAAGCUCACGCCUUUUUUUGCGCCUUGUGCCUAGGCUCCAGAGGACCAAUGCGCCUUAGUGCGCCUUGAGCCUUUAAAAACACUGAACUUGACACUUCAUGUCUAUUAGUGCAUUACAUUUAGCAUCUUUAUGUUAAAUCUGCAUAUAUUUGAUAUUCUCUUAAUUAAAAUAAUGUAUCUUCAACGUAUCCAUAUCCUAGUUUUUCAAAAAUUGGCAUAUCAUUUGUAUCCUAUUGAAUUAUCCUAUAUUUGUAUUUGUGUUCAUAUUUCCUACAUUUUUUGUUGGAAGAGGAAGAAAAAGGGAGCUGGUGGGCUUUUCCUUUAAUAGCAACAACGGUGAGCGGCACAACAAUGAUGGAGAGGGGUUGAAGGAGGAGAGGAGAGAGAGAAUUCAAUAAAAUUAAAAUUAGUAUUUUAUUCAACUUAUUUAUAUUAAUUAAUAAUAUUUUUAUUCAUAGUAAUUACCACAUGUAGAUCCUGUUAAUAAAGGGAGCAAAAUCAAGCAUUUUUCAAAUGUAGGAGACUCGAUUGUUCAAUUUUCAAACUUAGACAACAAUUCAAAACAAACCUCAAGGAUCAAAAGUGUAAUUUUCACUUUGAUAUCUUGUUCAAAUUGGAUUUAUGACCCAUUUUAUUCCCGCAAAGACACCUUCCUCUCUCUCAUUCGUGUUUCUCUCUAAGAAAAACAUACCCCGCAAAAACAGUGUAUAUUGAAAGUAAAAAAAAUCAAAAACAUCCAGUAAACAUUAUUAAUCCCAUACCUCAGCACCAGAAGACUGAUCAGAUGAACCUAAAUUCCCGCAAGCAUAGCACUGGUGCUGUUUGUACUCGCAAUUCUUGCAAAUAAAGGUUUCAAUUGCCUGCCAGCAAGCCCAUAGAUAUUGAAGAAAAUUAACAAAGGGAGUUUGCAAGCAUAGAAAACAUACAUGAAUAUUAUCAUACAUCUACUUCUUCUUUAGAGAGACCGAGCGAGAAACAAUCACCAUCCUCUUCAGUUGCAUGAAAGGACCUCAUGCACCUCCCAUCACAGCUAUAAGAAAAUCAAAAUAGCUUAUUAGGCUUAGCUUGAUGCUUCUACUUGGGAGAAAAUUUCCAAUGACUUCUGUAAUUAUUCAUUAGAUCAUAUUAUUUUGAACUAGAAACACUUUUGUGUGUGAUUUCCUGGUCGAGCUGUCAUUUCUAUGUCAUUCUGAGAAGAAGGCUAAAAGGGAAGGAAAUUCCAUCGAACUAUGAUUUUAAGAAACAAACAAUUUUGCAAAGCCAGUAACCAACCUCGAUAAUUUAAAGUAGGGGAAAAAAACAAUAUGUGUAUUGUGAAAAAAAGGCAGAAGGUAUAUUAAAAAAUAACAGGAGAACAGGUAUUGGCAGUUGAGAUAUGAAAUAUUACUCUCUCCAAAGAAAAAAAACCUUAUCAUUUAGUUAAAAUCGGACACAAGAUCCAUAAAAUGAAUUAUCAAAUAUCAAUGGAUCACUUUAAACAAAACAGAAAGGAAUGCACUACAGAAAAUGAAUACUUCAACAUUUCAUCAAAAAUAAUGAAAUAUACAAAAAGGAAACCCUAAAACCAAAGAAGAUACUGAAAACUAUAGAGAGAGAAUAGGUACAAAAAAUUUAGAAAGAACACUCCAAGAUGAUGCUACAAAACUAUGUACCACCAUGUAUUUUCUUGGCCUUUUCUCUAACAGGAUGCCAUCUAAAUGAGAGAGAAGAGAACUUCCAUGACUACUGGAAUAACUGUGUGAAUUUGAAAGAUGAUGAUUCUAUGUUUUUAACCACCUCAAAAAUUCACAAAACAUAUAUUUCAAAAGUUUUGUUUUUUUAUAGGGAUAGUUGCAAAUUUAGCAAUUAAAUUCAAAAUAAUUAAGUAUAUAGCAACAUUUUUAAAAAAUUGCAAAUAUAGCAAAAUGUGUCAAAUUCUAUCAAUGAUAGAAUCUAUCACUGAUAGACCAUGUUAUAAAAAUUGGUCUAUCACCGAUAAAUCAUACGAGUCUAUCAGUGAUACAAGUCUAUCAGCGAUAGUUUUGCUAUAUUUGCAAUUUUUUUAAAAUGUUGCUAUAUCCUUAAUUAUUAUUCCUCAAAUGGUCAUCCAUUACGAUUACCCUUUUUUAUAUUUAUGAGUGUCCAAGCUAACCUACGUGCACCUCAACUUAUUUCACAAGGAAACCAUAUGGGCUCACAACCUUCUUUUGUCAAAAUUUUGUAGGAUUAGAUAUGGUAGGCAGCAUACAUGAGGGUUUGAACAUAUUCGUCAUAGCACCUUUUAACUUUUUUCGCAGGUCCCAAUAACCACGCCCAAUGUUGUUUACAAGUAUUUCAAAAUAUGAACCUAGAAUCGAUGUUCCAAAAAGCUAUUGAGGCUCACACCUUGAGGCUCAUCCUGAGGCAAAAUUCUAAGUUUUAGCCUUGAGAUUUACGACGACCAUAAGAGGCUUACACCUCUCAUAGAAGAAGCUAACAGCUUUGUAAAAAUGCAUCAAGGCUUAAAAUCUAUGUGCCUCAUCUAGUGAUAAAAAAAAAUAGUCAUUUGCCUAGCUUCUUCAAAAAUAUCAAGGUUUAAGUUGUGUCAAUAUGAAUUAGGAUUACUUUUGUUGUUGUGACUUUAAAAACACUGAAGGCAAAAUUUAUACUAUAAAUCAAUCCUAUUACAUAUUAGUAGUUGUAGUAAUGAUAAAGAUAUCCUUUAGAAUUUUUUGAUCAAGUGAAAAUUGCAGGGGUGAAUUUUCUCUUAGCACUUUUACAUGACAAUCAUGUUUAGCACUACUUGGCUAUUUAUACCAAUUUAGGAUUUUCAAGAUGUUUUUAUUCACUUUUUGAGGCUUACUCCUCGGCCUCUCCAAGAGGAAAAGCCUCAAGGCCACCUCCAGCAUUUUAAAGCAUUACCCAAAAUGUUCAUCUGAUAACAAGGAACAGAAAACAAAUACCAUAUAAUGUUGCCACCAUUAUCACAAAAUGCACAGACAGAAUCAAAGACAUCAUCAUCACUUUCCUCUUCAACAGCAUCAUCACUUUCCUCUUCAACAGCAUCAUCAACCAUGUCUUCAUCAUCUGAAUCAUCAACUAUAAAACUUGGCUGCAUAUUACGUUGAGCAUCCUGAAAGAACAACUGUCCAAGCUGAAAAUGAGAAAACAGGAGAGUCCUUGUAGGCAUGCACUUGACAGCAAAAAUGAAUUACCUCAUGACAUGACAUUCUCUUAACAGGCUUCUCUUCAAGGAAUGCAAGUAAGAACUGUUCAGAUUACAAACCAUCAAGGUAAGAAGAUCAUCUAAUUCAGUACAAAAGAAUUCUAUUAAAAUAUGGCUCAAGAAAAAUUGACUCAUGCCACUGUAGACUGCUUUAUUAUAUUGAAAAGUUUUCAUUGAGAACACUCUAUUGUCAAAAGGUCUUUGAAACCAAAGCCCAAAGAGAAACACAGAACCUCACCAAGGACCAAACCGCACAAGGGUCUCCAUUCGCACCUCGAAACACUCUACUGUACCUCUCCCACAACCAAACACACACCCUACGAAUCACAAAAAAACAGCCUCACUUUAAAAGACAAAUGGAGGAGGAACUCCCCAAUCAUUGAACGAAUAUCCCUCUGGCGAGCAAUCGCAAUAUCAAACUCCUAAAAGAAAAACAAUUCCACGCUGAUCUCACAAACUGACACCCUCGGAGAAUGUGGUCCAUGUUUUCCUCCACCUUUCGACAAAGGAUACAAUAGAAAGGACCCAUUAACGAAGGCAUUUACAACAUAUAAGCAGCAGUGAUGUGGGGGAAGGUUGGGGAUCCAAAAGCCAAACCCUCCAAAUGGAGUUUUCAAAUAGGUCAUCUAUUUAGCAAAAUCUGGUUCUUUAGCACAAUGUUAAUUGAAGAUACCCAAAAUUUAAAAGAAUUCCUACUUAAAGGUUUUAUUCAUCUAUCUCCUGCCCAUUAUAAGCUUAAAUAUUUCUUUCCAAACAUAACUCCAUACAAAUUGCAAAAUGAAGCACAUCCGUAGAUAAUCUUCCCUAUCCUUUGACUAUAAGCCUAAAAGAUUGGAAAUCCAAUGUUGACAACAAAGAGCAAUCCUUCAAUCAUCUCUUACACCCCUUACUUUUGUGGCCCUGGUAGAACAUUGUUUCUCCUUACACAGUUACAGCCAGUUGGAUAACUUUUUUGUAACCUCCUUCAGCAUCGGGCUUGCUUUCCUCCCCCCUCUUCUACAAUAUUAUCAUCUAUGAAAGUGUUUCUAAUUCAAACAAAAUGACAAAGUAUACCACUGAAAUAACUAUCAUUUGAACAGUAACUAUACUUUUUCCAAAAUUAUUCAAAUUAUAAUAAAUGCAUGUUCCACAUGCAAAAUUUCCUUGUUACUAUCUCUUGAAUUAACAAGUGGCAAAGACUCGUAUUCUGUAGAAUUAAUUCAAUUCAAUAGCCCAGCGACUAAGUUGUGCAAAACCAGAUCUCUUCUUUGUUGACAUUUUUCUAAGUACCUCAACUAGUUAAACAUUGUACCCUCUACCACUAUUUUCAAGAUUUUAAGGUCAUCUAAAGUCCCAAACGUAACAGAAUCUUCAUUAGAGUUUUUGGAGUCUUUGUACUCUUUUAUGCCAUGAAAUCAACACUUGUGAGAUGAUAUGAAACAUAUAUCCUACUUGGCUACUGCACUCUGUGCUUGCAAGCUGACCGCAAGGAGAUUAACCGUGUGUACUUUCACAAUCAUUACCCACAGAAAAUCAGGGCCUUGCAUUCCACCAACUGAUCAGGACAGCUCCCUCUAAAAUUGAGGACUUGGAUCUCAGAUUGUAUGUGUUAUGAAAGAUGCAAAGCAGAAGAAGGAUUGGCUUCGUGAUGAUGCCCGUUUAUAUCUUCAGAUCAAGAAUUCAAUUGAGAGUGAGAUAAUUGGAUUGGUUGAUCACUGUGAGUCUGUUAAAGAACUUUUGGAAUUUUUGGAUUUUCUAUACUCAGGUAAAGAGCAAGUGCAUAGAAUGUUUGAAGUUUGUAUGCAAUUUUUUCGUGCGGAACAGAAAGCUGAGUCUGUCACCAGCUACUUUAUGCGGCUUAAGAAGAUCAUUGCCGAGCUUGGCUUGUUGUUACCUUUUAGUCCUGAUGUUAAAGUUCAACAAGUUCAACGAGAGAAGAUGGCUGUUAUGAUUUUUCUGAAUGGACUCUUACCUGAAUUUGGAAUGGCAAAGACACAGAUUCUCUCUGACUCCAAGAUUCCAUCAUUAGAUGAUGCCUUCACUCGAGUCCUUCGCAUUGAAAGCUCUCCGACUAGUGUGUCUAUUCCUCAACCCAGUAGUGCUCUCUUUAGCAAGAACAAUAACCCUCGGGCACCUCAGAGGAAUAGUACUGAUCAUCGAAAACCAGAGUCUGUAGAGAUUGUUUGUAACUACUGUCGUAAGCCAGGCCAUAUGAAACGUGAUUGUCGGAAAUUGCUAUAUAAGAAUAGUCAACGAUCUCAACAUGCUCAGAUAGCCUCCACAUGCGAUAUACCAGAGGCGUCAGUUACUAUUUCUGCAGAUGAGUUUGCUAAGUUUCAGAAUUACCAAGAGUCAUUACAAGCGUCAUCUUCCUCUACUCCGAUUGCAUCCACUGUUGCCCCAGGUAAUAUAAAGUGUCUUCUUACAUCAUCUACCAAAUGGGUCAUAGACUCUGGUGCCACAGCUCAUAUGACAGGUAAUUCUCACCUAUUUUCUAGACCGUUGUCCCCUGCCCCUUUCCCAUCUGUUACAUUGGCCGAUGGCUCCACAUCUUCUGUUCUUGGCUCUGGCACUAUUCACCUUACCCCAUCCUUUUCUCUCUCUUCUGUGUUACAUUUGCCUAACUUAUCCUUUAAUUUAAUUUCUACUAGUCAACUUACUCAUGACCUAAAUUGUGUUGUCAUGUUCUUUUCUGGUUAUUGCUUGUUUCAGGAUCGUGUGACGAAGAAGAUUAUUGGUAGAGGAUAUGAGUCAGGAGGCCUUUAUCUCUUUGAUCAUCAAGUAUCGCAAGCUGUGGCGUGUCCUGUCGUUCCCUCUCCUUUUGAAGUCCAUUGUCGUUUAGGUCAUCCAUCUUUGUUUGUGUUGAAGAAACUUUAUCCAGAAUUUAGGUCUUUGUCCUCUUUAAAUUGUGAUUCGUGUCAAUUUGCGAAAUUUCAUCGUCUUAGUUCGAGUCCUCGAGUCGAUAAACGAGCAAUUGCUCCAUUUGAGUUAGUUCAUUCUGAUAUUUGGGGUCCGUGUCCAGUUGUAUCUCAAACAGGCUUUCGUUAUUUUGUUACUUUUGUUGACGAUCAUUCUCGUCUAACUUGGUUAUAUUUAAUGAAAAAUCGUUCUGAGUUAUUAUCUCAUUUUUGUGCCUUUCAUACUGAAAUAAAAAACCAAUUUAAUGUCUCUAUCAAAACUUUGCGUACUGAUAAUGCGGGUGAAUAUUUUUCUCAUUCUCUUGGUUCUUACUUGUGUGAAAAUGGCAUUAUUCAUCAAUCUUCCUGUGCUGACACUCCAUCUCAAAAUGGUGUUGCAGAGCGAAAAAAUAGGCAUUUACUUGAAACUGCCAGUGCUUUAUCGUUUCAAAUGCAUGUUUCAAAAAUCUUUUGGGCUGAUGCUGUUUCUACAGCUUGUUUUUUGAUUAAUAGAAUGCCUUCCUCUGUUCUUAAUGGUGAGAUUCCCUAUCGUGUUCUUUUUCCUACCAAGCAUUUGUUUCCUAUUGCUCCUAAGAUAUUUGGUUGUGUCUGUUUUGUUCGUGACGUUCGUCCUCAUCAUACUAAGUUAGAUCCCAAAUCCUUGAAGUGUAUCUUCUUGGGUUAUUCACGUGUUCAAAAGGGUUAUCGUUGUUAUUGUCCUACCCUUAAAAGGUAUCUGGUUUCGCCUGAUGUUGUCUUUUUUGAAGAUACACCCUUUACUUCAUCACCAUCGAGUUUGUGUCAGGGGGAGGAUGACAAUCUUUUUAUAUAUGAGGUUACCUCUCCCACACCAUCCUUGUCUACUGAUGUGCCUCCUUCCCGCCCGUUGAUUUCUCAAGUCUACUCCCGACGACCUCCACCACAACCUUCAGACUCAUGUCCUCCAUCAAUGCUUCCUUCAUCAUGUGAUCCAGCGCCAAGUGAUGAUCUUCCCAUUGCUCUUCGCAAAGGUAAACGCAAGUGUACUUACCCCGUUUCUUCCUUUAUUUCCUAUCACCAGUUAUCUCCCUCCACAUAUGCGUUUAUUACGUCUCUUGAAUCCACAUCUAUUCCUAACUCUGUUCAUGAAGCUUUGUCUCAUCCUGGCUGGCAAAAUGCAAUGAUUGAGGAGAUGACUGCUUUAGAUGAUAAUGGUACUUGGGAUUUGGUAUCUCGUCCUGCAGGAAAGAAGGCCAUUGGUUGUAAAUGGUGUUUGCUGUCAAGAUGAAUCCUGAUGGAACAGUGGCUCGCUUAAAGGCUCGCCUUGUUGCCAAAGGUUAUGCUCAAAUCUAUGGCACUGAUUAUUCAGAUACAUUCUCUCCGGUUGCCAAGUUAACUUCCAUUCGCCUAUUUCUUUCCAUGGCUGCUACCAAUAAAUGGUCGUUGCAUCAACUUGACAUUAAGAAUGCUUUUCUUCACGGUGAUCUUCAAGAGGAAGUUUAUAUGGAACAACCACCAGGGUUUGUUGCUCAGGGGGAGAGUGAUAAAGUAUGUCGCCUUCGAAAAUCUCUGUAUGGUUUGAAACAGAGUCCUCGUGCGUGGUUUGGUAAGUUUAGUCAAGCCCUUGUAUGCUUUGGUAUGAAGAAGAGUACAUCUGAUCAUUCAGUUUUCUAUCGCCGAUCUGAGAAGGGUAUAGUUCUACUAGUUGUAUAUGUUGAUGAUAUUGUUAUUACUGGAAAUGAUGCAUUGGGUAUUUCGUCUCUCAAAACUUUCCUUCAGGGUCAGUUUUAUACAAAAGAUUUGGGCCAAUUGAAAUAUUUUUGGGCAUUGAAGUGAUGAGAAGCAAGAAAGGUAUUUAUUUGUCUCAACGAAAAUAUGUACUUGAUUUGUUGUCUGAAACAGGAAAAUUAGGCGCCAAACCAAGUGGCACUCCAAUGAUGCCAAAUCAGCAACUUGUUAAAGAAGGAGAAUUAUGUAAAGAUCCUGAGAGAUAUAGGAGAUUAGUUGGAAAGUUGAACUACUUAACAGUGACUCGACCAGACAUUGCAUAUUCUGUAAGUGUUGUAAGUCAAUUCAUGUCUUCCCCUACAGUGGAUCAUUGGUUUGCAGUAGAGCAGAUUUUGUGUUAUCUAAAAGCUGCUCCUGGACGUGGGAUCCUAUACAAAGAUCAUGGACAUACGAGAGUUGAAUGUUUUUCUGAUGCUGAUUGGGCGGGGUCUCGUGAGGAUAGGAGAUCGACUUCUGGAUAUUGUGUUUUUGUAGGUGGAAACUUAGUUUCAUGGAAGAGUAAGAAACAAAAUGUUGUUUCUCGUUCGAGUGCUGAGUCAGAAUAUAGAGCUAUGGCACAAUCUGUGUGUGAAAUAGUAUGGAUUCACCAACUAUUAUCUGAGAUAGGCUUUAGUAUUACCGUGCCAGCUAAAUUAUGGUGUGAUAAUCAAGCUGCACUUCAUAUUGCAUCUAAUCCAGUAUUUCAUGAAAGAACUAAACAUAUUGAGGUGGAUUGUCACUUCAUUCGUGAGAAAAUCCAAGAUGGGUUGGUGUCCACAGGAUAUGUGAAGACCGGAGAACAAUUGGGAGAUAUUCUAACUAAAGCUUUAAAUGGAACAAGAAUAAGCUAUCUGUGCAACAAGCUGGGCAUGAUCGACAUAUUUGCUCCAGCUUGAGGGGGAGUGUUAUGAUAUAUAUAUAUAUACAUAUGUCCUUUAUUGUAAUUUUACAUAGUCUCUAGGGUUUAGUUUAUUCUCUUUAUAAAUAUGUAACAUUGCUUUGACUCAAGAGGAAUAAGACAUACGUUUCUGAAUUCUAGAUUACAGUAUGGGAAUUAUCUUUAUAGAAAAUGAAAAGCCUACGGGGAUAAAUAUGGUUCCAGAAGUCCUGUAGGAAAUUUCUGAAAAGAGGGUAUAAAAAAUAUUUUGAGGAUGGAAGUCAACAUAACCUAGAACUGUGGAAUGGUUGAGUCAAAAAUUUUAUUUAUCUUGCACUAAUUGAAACUCUAUUGCCUGUGGGCGUGGCUUUGAGACUUAGGAAUGUAUCACGAACUCCUUCCUCCCUCCCCCCUGCCCUUUUGUUUCUUCUUCACAUCCAUAUAAAAAAAUUUAUUCAACAAAACAAAUGAACAUAAUCUUUUCAUUGUCUGCACAAGAAUGAAAGAGAACCUGGGACUUGGCCAAUAUAUCAUCCCUUUUAACUGCUUCUCCGAUUAAUGACAUGUGAUCCACCAAAUCAUUCUGGGAAGGCCUCACUUCAUACAAGCUGCAAAAAUGAAUGGCUUAAAAACAACAAAUACAAAAGCAUGAAAGUAAAAGAUGAAAUGAAUUCAUGUUACCUAAAGGUUUUAGCUAAUAGAUCCCACAAAGAUUUGCUAGAUGUAUCUGGAUUCCUCUUCAAAGCAUGAAGGCAGUGCACUGUGAUCAAGAUGGUUCUAAUGGUAUCCUCAAAGCUCUUUCUAGGCUUCUGAAGUGUAAUCCACACAUUCUCUUUGGAAAGCACCGAUAUCUCUGGCUUUGAACCAGAAAUAUUAAAUCUCCAUGCGGUAACCUGUUUAUAAACCUUUUGAAGUCCAUUAUCAACUGUACCAUGGAGGAAAACAGGUUCUUGACUGCCCUCCAAUCUCUCCCCUUCAUCCCAUUUAAUCGGCAAAAUAGAGAAUGAAAUAGGUUCUUCCUUGUGAUCCACAAAGUGAUAAUUUGAGACAGGUGGUACUGGUAAGGUCUCAGCCUCAUCAUCUGAAGACGCCAUUACUCUAUUGUAGUUCCAGUCCUGCUACUUAACAACUAAAUUCAAUGAGUGGAAUAACAAAAUAAAAAAUGACUAAAAAUCCGACCUACAAUGAAAGAGAAUAAUUUGAGACAGGUGGUACUGGUAAGGUCUCAGCCUCAUCAUCUGAAGACGCCAUUACUCUAUUGUAGUUCCAGUCCUGCUACUUAACAACUAAAUUCAAUGAGUGGAAUAACAAAAUAAAAAAUGACUAAAAAUCCGACCUACAAUGAAAGAGAAUACUUCACUUUCCCUUAAGACUAGAACAAACACCCGUUCUUGAAACAGGAAUAGGAUUGAUCAUAGUGACAUAUCCAUACGAAGUACUCCCUAAAAUGCAAAUACAAAAAGGGUAAUUGAGAGGGACGAAGAAGGUACCUGAAUGGCCUUCGGUUGAGAGCCAAUCCCUACAAGAAGCUAUUCAAACUCGGGAAAUGGCAAUACCGAACAAUUUCAACAAUGUUAGCAGCGAAGAUAGCAAAGGAAGAAUGGGAACAGAUUGUAAACAAGAAUCGGAUACCAGCAGCCCUACGGAAGAAAGUCAGGCAGAAGUUGGGGAGGUGAAAAUUAGUUGCGACGGAACCCGCGAAGAAGAGAGCAAUAUUCUUUGGGGAAAAGAAGUUACCAAAAAAUUGUGAAAACUGAAAGCCACAUAAUCGGUAAAUUAUAAAAAAGAUACGAAGAGGAUGUUUUGGAGGCAAGAGGGAGGGGAUGUUCGGGGUAAGGGGUAGAAUAGAGAUACUACGGGGUCGUUUUGGACUAAAAUUAUGGCCCUUAUUUGUAAACAUUAUUUCAAUAAAAGCAGCUACUCUAAACACUUAAGUAAAAUAAACUAGAAUAAUCAUCACGGUUGGGUUGGAUUAAAUUAGAGGAAAAAAUACUGAUCUGGUUCACUCAACCCUAUUAUGCAUAUAAUAUAUAUAAUUGAAUGUAAGAAGGGGUAGAAUUCAAAAACAAAACUUUGUAACUCACGUUCUACUAUUAAAAUUACCAUUUUAUUCAUCGUUUUCUUUCCAACACUUGAAGUUGCAUCAUUUCUUUCAUCUUUAUUAUUUCUUCUCUAUUUGUGUUCUUUAUGUACUCUUUGCUCUAAAAGACCAUAUUCAAUUUUCUUUAACAUCUCAAGUUAUUGGUAUUCAAAAUUUUAGGGACAUACAUUAGACAGGUUGAUAUAAUGACCCCUCAUGGACACCCAUUAUGUCCAUUUUUUCUAAGCUUUUCUCUUUGUUUAUGUUGUCCUUUUUAAGCUUAAGGAAGUCUUUGUGCUAGGGUUGCUGCAUAUAUCUUGAUUUCUCUUUACCAUUUGGGCUAAGAAGAGUCGAUAUUCAAAGGAUUCAUUCCUAUGUGCGUGUGGCUGUUGUUCGUGUGAAUGCUUGGCUAAAGAUUAAUUUGAAACCAAUCUAAUGACAUUGCUUUAGGAGAUCCUAAAGUUGGCUCUAUCGAGAAGGGAGAUCUCAUCAACUUAGGGGGAGUCUAAGUUUAUUCGUGAAGGGAGUUCACAAGUAAAGAGGAAUGAUUAAUCAAGAAUUUCUAUUAUUUAGGGGAGUUUGAGUAGUUAUUCACUAAUAGUAGCAUACUUAAGGGGAGCCUAAGUAUUAAAGAGAAUGUUUCCCAAGUGUCCAGUGAAUUAGUUCUACGAUUGUCUUUGUGAGCGGAAGAGUGUUUAUAUAAGUACAACUUUAUAAUUGCUUGACUCAUUGAUUUCAGUGGAUUAACUUUCCCGGACACAAUUCUCGUGUGUUUUUUCGUUUACUUCUUGUUGUUUUGUUAUUAUCUCUCAUCUU